UUCUAUGACCAGGCAGGUAUUAGGUUCCUUGUGGUUAGACCUGGUCUUCCCAGUUUCAUAUUCAAGGAUAGGAGGAACUUUCUCUCAAGCUUUAAACAGCCUGUACUCUCCCCCUGUAAGCUUAGUGAGAAAAGGAGUUAAAUUCUAUUAAUAACCGAACCAAAACCAAACCAGUUGCCACUGAGUUGAUUGCGAUGCAUGGUGACCCCAUGAGUGUUAGAGUAGGACUGUGCUCUACAGGGUUUUCAAUGGCUGAUUUUUCAGAAGUAGAGCUCCAUGCCUUUCUUCCAAGGCACCUCUGGGUGAACUUGAACCCCCAACCUUUUGGUUAGUAGCCAAGCACAUUGACUGUUUCCACCGUCUAGGGACUCCCCUAUUAAUAAAGCACCCAGUUUAUACUGCCGAUACUAAGGGCCAAAGCUUUUGCGGGCAGAGCAAUGUUCAGUGUGUGUUUUUUUCAUUGUGACUGAAAGGAGCUUAAACAUCCUGUAUUGCCUAGGCCAGCAACAUAACAGAAUAACAUAGCCUUAUUUCACUGUCCCCUUGAUUAUGCCUGGUUGUUUGACUCCUUCUUCUUUUAAUAGUUCCCAAUCAUGCCCUUGUGGUUUUAUUCUUUUCCUUCGGAGCCAGGCAUUCAGGAAAUAUUUUUCACUGAUAUCCGGUGGUUACACCGUAUGAUAAUUCCCUCCUUGGUUCAACUGCUCACACGUGCUGAGUGGCAGAUACAUCUGUUGGUGAUGAAGCUUUAGUAAGGGUUUCAGCUGCAUAUAACAGGAGGGAAUGGCGUCUUUCCUUUCUCUGGUUAUUCUUGAUUUUCAGCGUGUGCUGGUAAUGAGAUAAUUACAUAAUGAUCAGAAAGUAACUCACCAGCUCUGACUGAAGGUGCCUGAUGUCCAUCACCACAUAAUAACAGGUAUUAUGAGGAGACGCGGUUGCCUGGAUGUGAACAACUGCUGAAUUUCAAGCUCUAGCCUGCUGGGUAGCAUGCCACCGGAACACCCAGCCAAAAUGGAAGAGAAGCCUAGAACUUAAAGAGCUUGCUGGCUUAUGGAAAUGUUUUACCAACCUGAUCUCUCUUUUGAAGUGAUGGGUAAUGUAGUAUUUUUGGUUAAUACAAAUUUACGUAGCAUUAAUGGUUUCUUUUGGAGAGGGAUUUGCUUAUAGAGGAGAAAUUGCUUAUGUCCCUGAAGCUUGUGCUUAUAUUUCGAAAGCAUGCUAAACAAACUCUUUGCCCUUGAGUCAAUUCUGACACAUAGUGAUCCUAUAGGACAGAGUAGAAAUGCUACAUAGGGUUUCCAAGGAGCAGUUGGUGGAUUCGAACUGCCAACCUUUUGGUUAGCAGCUGAACUCUUAAGCAUAGGAUGUUUUUGUGGUACAGAAUGACAGAGGAGAGAUGGGAUCUUUAUGCUACUUCCCUGUUCAUAUUCCAGGGACUUGGGGGUUUUCCUUUGUACUAUCCAUGAACCUAAUUUAAUAUUAAGAGAGUGACCAUUUAACUGUGUAUAUAAACAAAGAGGCCCCCUACAUUCUGCACUGUGACAUAUAAGUGCAGUUACCUCUGGCCACUGAGUGAGAUGCUGAGGUAUCUCCAGGUACACACCACCUCUGUCUGUGUGGAAGGGCCAGUGGCAGAUAUUCAGUCUUCCUUUAUCCAGUCAGAGUGAAGCCAGCUUGAAAUGAUAGUUUCACUAUCUCAGAUUUGGAUGUAAGAAACAUUUCCCUUCAGGUUUUCUCAGACAGCCUGACUAAUUGGGUUGUUUUAGGGUUUGGUUUCUGUGGUACCGAAGUCAAGAAAAAGACCCUGACUGGUGUGUAUUUGAAAUUCAGGAGGCCUUUUCCUAGUGCCUGGAUGAUUAAAUUUGCCUCUGUGUAGGGGUGACCAGUACCCUCCUGCUUCCUGUCUCGAGCUGCCUUGCUCAGUGCCUCCCCCUCCACUGGAUUACUUCCUUUCAUGCUGAAUUAAUGUCUUACCCUCUUUGCUUCUUCAUUCUGUCUCUUCUCCACUCACUGUAGUCUGUACACCCCAACCCUCCAUGGAAACUUCUGUCUCCAAGGUUAUCACAGCUCAACCCAACCCAACCAAACCAACUAAAUCUGUUACCAUUGAGCCAAUUCCAAGGGCCACUUUGUCAUACUUAUGUUGUUGAUUCUCAAGCCUCCAUUUCUAGCCCAGAUCUCUUUCCUGAGCUCUGGUUUCUGUAAUCAGCUGCUCCCUGGAUGUCCUUAGAUAUGCAAACCCAGCAUAUCCCAGAGUGAACUCUUCACUGGCAUCCUCCCUCUUCUCCCCACAUCUCUUUCCCCUCCUAAGUUCUCCAUCUCUGCAAAUGGCCUUAUCCCUUCUCAUUUUAAUUGCCCAAGCCAAAGACCAGUUAAUAAUUUGACUUCUUUCUGUCCCUCUCAACGAAUCUGACUGCCCAUGCUCCCCAAGUCUGAUUAAUGCUGCUUCUUGCGUUUCAUUUUAAACUUGUUGAAUUUAUUCAUCAACAUUGACCUUCUCCCACUCUCAUACUAUGAGUCCUAAUUAUCUCUUCCUUGGAUUUCUCCAACAGCAUCUUUGCUGGUCUCACCUCCUUUAGUUUUGGCCCCUUUCCACUUUAUUUUCCACAAUGGACCCAAACUGGUUUUUCUAAAGUAUAAAUACGGUCAUGUUACUCCUCUGUUUAAAAUCCAUCAGGAACUUCCUAUAACCUGUGAAGUUUGAACUGCUCAUGUGUCAUUUAAGUAGAACAACCUUGUAUCUUGUUCAUCUGGGACAGUCCCAGUUUAUACCUGAUUUCUGAGUACAAACAUUUCACUCUUAAACAUGUCCUGGUUGGAUGAUAAAUUAUAUGGUUCCCGUAGUUAUAAGGCCGUUCAAGAUCUGCGACCUCCCAUCCCAUCCCUCAGCCUCUUAUUUAUUUUUAUUAGUGGCAAAUAUAUAUGUAACAAAACAUUGGCCAUUUCCACAGUCUUCACAUGUAUAGUUCAGUGACAUUAACUAUGUUCAUCAUGUUAUUCAACCGUCACUCUUCCCGUUCCCAAUUUUUUCAUCAGCCUUAACAGAAGCUCAGUGUUAACUUCUGCCCUCCCCGUCACACUCUGCUUCAGCCACACUGAACUGCUAUUUGCAGACUUGGGACUGUGCCAUGUUUUCUCUUUUACCUCCAGCGUUCGCACAUAUGGGUCCAUGCCUGAAAUCUGACCCACUGGCCCCUCUCUCUGGCUAGUCCCUUGUGAUCCUCCUGGCUUCCUCAUGGAUUUCACUUCUUCCUGGAAACCUGCCCUCUUCUAGAUAAGGGGCCAUGCUCCUAUAUGCUCCCCUAGUAGUCUGUUCUUAGCUCUAAACCCAACCCGGUGCUGUCGAGUUGAUUCCAGCUCAUAGCAACCCUAUAGGACAGAGUAGAACUGCCCCACAGAGUUUCCAAGGAGUGCCUGGCGGAUUCGAACUGCCAACCCUUUGGCUAGCAGCUGUAGCACUUAACUAUUACGCCACCAGGGUUUCCUUCUUAAGAAAUAGAUGAACAAACAAGCAAUUAUAAUACAAGCCAAUAAAUGGUUCUUAGCUCUGAGUAUUGUAUUAUAUUGUAUUAUAAUUGCUUGUUUGUUCAUCUGCUUCUUCAACUGGAUUCUAAUCUCCUUGAGCGUAAAGACUAUGUCUUAUUCACUGCCCUUUCUCUCAGGGUUAGCACAUGGUAAAUGUUUGAUAAAUAUUUGUUGAACAAGUAAGUAAAUAGGCAAGGUAAAAGUAGGAUUCCUUUCAAACAAAGAGUUAUAGUUCAUCAAUCAUCCCAGUUCAAAUAUGGUGACAGGAAGACUUUAAAAUCCUGCACUGGGAACAUUUUUUGAGUGUGUUGGUGGAAGAACUGAGAGUACAGACUAGGAAAAUUCUCAUCCUGCUAUUAAAUAAUUUAGGUUCACUGUGAUUGUACUGGAGAACAGCCCAGGCCAGGUAUACGUCACCCCUUUAACAUUAGCUAACUUCAGCUGAUACUAGUAUUAUUUUACAAUUUCCUCUUUGGUAUACUGUUCAUGGAAAGCUGUUAUUUGGAGCACUGCAACGAUUCCUCUUUAAUGAAACAUCUUGGAGCUGUGGAAUAUUUAGAUCUGAUGUGGAGUCAGCCUCCUGACACCAAGAAGGCACUUUACCUUGCUCAGUACUUGCUUGUCGAGGCUGCUGUGUUUUUGCCGCAAAGGUUUUUCAAGGCUGCUGGGCAUCCCUAGUGUUCAGACACGGUCCCUGCAGGAAAGAGAACUUGCUCCAGAUGGUUCAAAUGGAGAGACUUUAACGGAGGGGCUACUUAGGUACAGAGGUGUGGGUAGGGUUAAGGGAUGUUCAGACACCAAAAGGUUAGCAACAGCAGGAAACCGUUACCACCCUGAGGCUAAAGAGCCAGGGGAGGAGCCCAGAGAGCCCUGGAGUUCUGAAAGAAUGGUUGCCUGCCAUUGGGGGAUACAGCCAUUGUUAGAGCCUCUACCAAAGCACAGAGAGAAUAGGGAAGAAAUACUCUGACCUUUUUCUCCUCUUGCCCUUUGCUCUCAUGAUGGUGUCUCCACUGCCCAACCCUGACCAAGGGAGCCUGGGUGAUGCCGCCUGCUAAGGAUGGUGUCUUAGUUAUCUCCUGCUGCUAUAACAGAAAUACCAUAAGGGGAUGGCUUUAACAAACAGACGUUUAUUUUCUAACAGUUUAGGAGGCUGGAAGUUCAAAUUCAGGAUGCUGAUUCUAGGGGAAGCCUUUCUGUCUCUGUUGGCUGUGGAGGAAGGUGUUUGUUUUCAGCUUCUCUUCCUUGGUUCUUUGGUGAUCUUCAAGUGUUGUGACAUCUGUCUUUCCCCCAUCUCUGCUUGCUUCUCUGUGCCUAAUCUGCACAUUUUAUAUCUUGAAGGUGAUUGGCAUAAGACAUACCCUAUGCCAAUAUGGCCUUAUUAACAAAAUAAAGAAAACCCUAUUCCCCAAUGCGAUUACACAAGUAUAGGGGUUAGGAUUUAUAACACGUAUUUUUGGGAGGCACAAUUCAAGCCAUAACAGACAGCUUUCCUGACAGAGCAGGGUGGGGGAGGGUGGAAAAAUAGAUCUGGAAGGGCAGAGAAUAACCAACAUCCUGGUUCUGUCUUUCCCCUGGCAAUCUUGGAGGUCAGUAUUCUGUUCCCCUUCAUUUGGUUUCAUGCAUUUUACUCCAGGGGAAAUGUCACAGGGCUAGAAAUAUUAUACCACUCUAGCUUUACCGAACCUACUCUUUCCUGACAGGAGAGUGCUGGGUUGUGCCCAACCUGCUCAGAAUCUUCUCUUAGUUUGUUUUCUUUUCUCUGCUCUUCUUUUUAUGGUUUUAUUGUGGUAAAAAUAUGUAUAACAAAACAUUUGCCAAUUCAUCAUUUUUUACAUGUCUAACUCAGUGACAUUGGUUAACAUUCAUCACGUCGUGUAACCAUCACCACUGUUUCCAAGUUAUUCCAACACCAUUAACAGAAAGUCAGUGCCCUAACCUAAGGCUCCCCUUUUGUCCCCCACUCCAAUCCUGGUAGCCACCGGUAAACUUUGGUAUCUAUACAUUUGCCUGUUUUAGAUAUUUCAUAUAAUUGAGAUCAUACAAUAUUUGUCCUUUUGUGACUUAUUUCACUCAGUGUAAUGUUUUCAGUGUUCAUUCAUGUUGUAGCAUGUAUCAGGACUUCAUUUCUCUUUAUGGCACAGUGAUAUUCCAUUGUAUGGAUAUACCACAUUUUGUUUAUCCAUUCAUCUGUUGAUGGACAUUUAAUUGUUUCUUUUUGCUGGCUUUGCUUUCUUGAGCCCUCUUGCCUAGGCUCUUUAUUUGUGAACUAGACUGAGAGUCUUUACACCACUGAAAUUAAACACUCAUUAAAUGCUCACAUCUCAAAUUCUUUCUCAUCAAAGUUUCUUUCUUAUCCCACUUUCAAAAUUCUACCUUAUAUUAUUCCUCAGAUGUGUCCAUUUCUCUCUGAUCUAUACUACCACUCUCCUAUUACAAGCCAUCAUCUUUUCUCCCCUGGGUGGAUACAAUAGCUUCCCAGUGGUUCUCCUCCCUUCCAUUUUUGUCUUUCUCCGAUUUGGCCUCUCCACAGGAGUCAGUGUCAUCUGGGAAAAUAGCAGUCAGAUCAUGGUACUCUGCUGUUUCAAAGCUUCCAUUAGCUUUCUCUUGCACUCGAAAUACAAUCCAACUUCCUUUCUGAAAGGUCAAAGGUGAUGCGGCCUUGACCCACCUCUCUAUACCCACUCUUAUCUGUUACCGCUACGCCUGUCUCACUACCCCCUUCAGCGGCCCUGGCUUCCAUUGGGUUCCUCCAGAGCCCCAAGCCCAUUCCAAUCUCAGAGCCUUGUGCAUCCUGUUUCCUCUUUUCUAACUAUGCCUUCUCCCCCAUCCCUCACCGCUCUCUUUGCCUAGUUGGCCUCUUCUCAUACUUUAGCUUUCAGGUUAAAUGUCACCACCUUAGAGCAUUCUUUGCAGACCAUCCCAUCUCGUACUUGUGCUCAUAACACCCUGUGGCUCCACACAUCCAUCUUUGUGUGCCCGGCACUUAGCAGCACAGUGCUUGGCAAGCAGUCGGCCUAAGUUCAGGCUCGAGCAAGAUAUAACUGAUGACAGGUGCAUUUGGAAGACUGGGCCACACGAAGUUGCCUCUUGCAGUAGCAUUUUCUUGGAUAUUUUAUUUACGAUGAAUUCCUGGACUGCAUGCAUGAAUGUGUACAUUUAUUUAGUUUACUUGUUUAGCAUCCCAUGGGCUACAUGGGUCGAGUGAACUCAGUUCUUAAAACAACACUUCACCACACCCAGAACUUGCGUGGCAGUGGGUCACCCACUCCUUUUGUUUAGUCUCCCACAUUCUAGCCUGCUUGUUUCCUUUUUUUCCCCCUGCCUUCUAACUUCCUUUGCUUCAUUUUCAUUGUCGUACAUAAUGAUGAGAGAAUACAUACACCAUUUCUCUGUCACUCUUCUCUCUUGGACAGGAGUCAGUAGCCAGUACAAUUGUAGAAAACCCUUAUUAUUUCAUAUCCUGCUUUAUUGGAAUUUGUGUGCAUUUAGAUAGCACUAAGCUGAUGGUGAUUCAGUGGUAGAAUUCUCACCACUGAACCCAUACAGGAGACCCAGGUUCGAUUCCCAGCCAAUGCACCUAAUGUGUAGCCAACACCCAUCUGUCAGUGGAGGCUUGCAUGUUGCUGUGAGGUUGAACAAGCUUCAGCAGAGUUUCCAGACUAAGACUAGGAAGAAAGGUCUGGUGAUCUGCUUCCAAAAAUCAGCCAAUGAAAACCCUAUGGAUUACAAUGAUCCUAUCCACAACCUUUUGAGGGGAUGGCUCAGGACUGGGCAGCGAUUUGUUCUGUUGUAUGGGGUUGCCAUGAAUCUGGGUUGACUCCCUGGGAGCUAACAACAACAAGUUGGUGUUGCUUUCUCUCUCCAGGAAGAGAGGUAUUGCUCUGCAAAGCAAUAUGAUAAAUAAGCGUCCUAGGGAAAGACAUCGGCUCUCUAAGAGGCACUUGCCACCCUUUGUAGGUGGCUCAUGAGGAAUAAGUCUAUUAUUAGUGCAACAGCUUGGCAGCGACCUGUAGCCCUGAGUAUUUAUUUCUGAUGAACUUGAAAAGGAUCAGUGUGCUCGAGAAUACCUAGAGCUUUCACUAAAUCAGAUUAACCUUUACCCCAAAUCAUUUGAAUUAAUCACACAACUUUUCUCUUAUACCUGCCUUGUGCUUUAUUGGAGAAUGGGGCAGUGCAUUGCAGAUUUUGCUGUUGAGGAAACCGAGGCCCCAGAGCUAAACAGACUAUGAAAGACCAGACACAUGCUUUGUGGUUGAGCCACAGCUAGAAUCCAGGUGCCUUAAGUGUUUGGUUUCUCUCUGGGGCUUUUCUUUCCCUUAUUUUUGUGCCCUAAGUGUGGUUAAUAUUUUAAAAUGCUCUUAUUGGUUUUUGAAUAACAAAUUAGGAGAAUAACAAAUAACAAAAACAAAUUAGGAGGUGGCAUCAUUUUCUUAUUUUUUUCUUUUAUGCUUCUUCUACCUUGUUCUUAUGGCCUUGUUAUUGUACAGAGAGGAAGAAAAAAUUAAAACAAUCAACUAAAAUGUUAAAAGCAGUUUAGUGGGAAAGUUAAUCAAAUACACAUCUCACCUCUACAUAUAUGCCUUUUGGAGCCUGAAGCUGUUGUUCACAGCUACUCUGUAAUCCCUGGUUAUUGAGAGCAAGGGUAGAAACUGAGAUCAGCUCUUAGCUCAUUUCUAGCCAAAUGCGAUGCAGUUGAGUGGCUAGAAUGGAGCCAGGGCAUACAGUUGAGUCUGGAUGAUCUUGAGGCUGUGAUCAUUCUGUGUCUGAGGUAUGAGUAGAUUUAGAAAGGAGUAGACAGAGAGAUGAGGGGAGGCUGAUUCUCGGGCUCCCGCAAGAGAAUCAGUUAUUCAAGUACUCUAUCAAGAGAUAAUAAAUGAUAUCGCCACUUCCCCAAGGAAUAAUUUGUAUAAAAGAUACACUGUUAUUGGGAGUUGCUACCAAGUUGACUCCAACUCAUGGCGACCCUGUGUACAACAGAAUGAAACAUCGCCCAGUCCUGUACCAUCUUCACGAUCGUUGGCAUGUUUGAGUCCAUUGUUGCGGCUAUUGUGUAGUGCCUUCCAACCUAGGGGGCUCAUUUUCCAGAACUUUUAUAUAGGACAGUAUUCUGUUGUGAUCCGUAGGGUUUUCAGUGACUGAUUUUUCCGAAGUAGAUUGCCAAGCCUUUCUUUCUAGUCUGUCCUAGUCUGGAUGUUCCACUGAAACCUUUCUACCACGGGUGACCCUGCUGGUAUUCAAAAUACUGGUGGCAUAGCUUCCAGCAUCACAGCAACGUGCAAGCAGUCACAGUCCGAUAAGCUGACAGAUAGGCGGUAGAAAAGGUAUAUGCAAACACAGGAAAAACAUGAUGAUCUUGCUAGACCCCAGCCUGUCUAGUGAGGAGCAACUGAGGAGCAGGUGAGUCGGGAUGAGAGGGCUCUCUCUUAUUCCAGGGGUCGGUGAGAUUCAGAAAUGUGUAGUCAGCUUUGUAAGGUUCCUCAUCUUUGCUUGCAUGACCAGCUCUUGACUUGUUAGCUUCUUUUCACUUCCCUGAAGGGACUACAUAGGAAAGUUAAAAGUGGUGUGCAUUCAACUUUUUGAUGUUACAUUUUAAGAUUUACAAAUUCUUCACUUCCUCGAGGAUUUGGGGACGUUCUCUUUAAUCUCUUACAGCUCUGGGAAGUUUGUUUUUUUUUGCUAUUAACUUUCCUUUCAGCCAUGUGUUGGGGCCUGGAGAGUCAGAGCAUACAUGGGAAAAGACAAUAAUAAGAAGGCUUGGCUGUGUCUCCUUGAGCAGAGUUAGCUGUGGUGAAUCUUUUGAUUUGGCAUUACACGUUGGGAAGAAGGAUUUUAAGGGCGAUGGAAAAAGUUGAAAAUGGGUAAUGAUGAUGGUUGAACAACAUGAUGAACAUAAUUAAUGUCACUGAAUUGCACACGUGAACGAUGUUGAAAUAGCAAAUUUAUGUAUAUGUGUGCAUGUGUACAUAUGUAUAUACACAUACACAUAUAUAUACACAUAACAAUAAAAUUGAUAAUUAUAGAAAAAAGCCCAGGAUUUUGGAUAAAUCUAGCGAACGAGGAUUUCCAGAUUGUGCAGGCUCUUUGGAAACAUUGGGUAACGUUUCUCCUGGGGCCUGUGAGCUUUUCUUCGCCUUUGGUGAUGGUGACAGGGAGAGUGGGAGCCGUUUGGCCCACAGAGGUGGACUGGAACUUGCCUGUGGCUAUGGAUCUGGAAGAGGUUUGCCCAAUUCUGUGAGGCUGUGAUUCUGGCAUUGUCUUCCAUUAGCCUCACCUUCAUUUGCAGGCAACUCUGUGAAUGAUUCCAGAGUUCAUUUUUCUACUCUGUGUUCAAAUGUGGCAGGUUCAACUGUGAGGCUGAGGUCAGAUUUGAAGCCUGUUACUUUCCCUCCAAAGUGUGAUUUGUGAAUGAAUGAAUGAAUGGUGUCAGGGCACAAGCAUUUGCCUCUGCUGCCAGAGAUGACAGUCCUCCUGGUCCUUGAAGGCUCCCCUUGUCCAGCCUUCUUGGAGCCUUGUCAGCCUGUGGUCUGCUGCUUACUGGGGCUGCCCAUGCUUGGCACUCCUGGGAGCCCAGAUUUCAUCCAGCUGCUCCUCCCAAGAUGGUGACUGUUUGCAAUCGGAGCUUCUGCAGAGCAGGGGGAGUCCCUUUGGGAGAGUCUUGUUCAAGGUCCACAGAAUUCAAGUAAGUACAAAUGCUAUGUAGGGAUUUAACAGUCCCUGAAUUAUCUGACUGAAGAUAACUGAAAAGAACCACAGGAUGUGCUCAGAUGUAUUCUCAGGGUAUGGGGGCAGAUGUGACGUGAAUUACUUCAUACCACCAGAGAACAACCAAUAAACCACACACCAGGUUUCUUCUCAACCAGUCUCAGAAUUACCCUUUUUUAUGCUGUUCUUUUAGAAAUUAGGGGAAUAUAGGGCUCCCCUAGUCUUCCAACUGAAAACAUUUUCUGCCCUGGGAUACUUUUAUGCCUAACACUUUCUUGGAGAUUUGCUGAUUUUUCUCUGCAUUACCAAAUGCCCUUCUGCUGUCUACAGGACUUAAUUACCAACUAUUGAUAUUUUUGUUUUUGCCCUCAUUUCCUGCUCCAGGUGGAUAGUAUUUUUUUCUCAGAUUAAAGGUUCUGAUCUUUUAUAUUUGCUUUUUAAAACAAAAUAUUCUAGACCUUUUUAUAGCCAUCUCCAGUUUUGCUUUGUUAUUUAGUCAGCAAAAGAAGGAUAAAAUUGGACUAAGGAAAGCUGAAUCUGACAAUUACAAUGCAUGGAAUUUUGGAGCAGUUGUUCAGGAUUCACUUGAUUUGAAGGGAUCUGGGAUCAUAUUGUUGGUAUCUCCCCAAAAUGCUGUACAUGUGGCUAUCCUGAAAGCUGGCACUUGGUAUGUAUUUGCUGAAUGGAGAUCACAGAAAAGAAGGGAAAAUAGGGUCAUGGAUUCAGAAUAUUUGUGCAGUAACAUGUUGAUGAACCUGCAAAAUAGCAAAUGCUUCAGGGUCUGCCCCUUACAUCUCUCAGCUCUGUGUCUUCUAGGGUGCCACAACUUGGUAAAACCUCACCUCGUGCAGGGUUGUGUUGAGAACAUCAACAUAAAUGGGAAGAACUAACUGUCCCAGUUGGGAAGGGUCUUAGGCUCCCAAAUGCUUCCUCUUGUCUACGUUUGGUUGGAUCUACAAGUGUUGCUUCUGAAGCCUGAAUGACCCCUUGAGUUUUCAGUAUCAUUCGUACCUUUGUGUAAUGGGAAGAGAAACUGGGUGUCCCUCUUUUACAAGGUGAAGGGUUGGAUGAUGUGAGACCCAAGGUCCCUUCUGGUGUUAAGAUUUCUUGAUUGUACUUGAGCCUGAUCUCUACUUGGAGGACGAUAACACUCAAGGUUCCAGAAUUUUGAGUGGGAUCAAGAAGUGUAAGAGGAAGCUUGGGAGUGCUUUAGCCUAGGUAAGGUGGGGCAUGAGGGCACUAAGUUUCUGGAUGGCAGGGGAGAGCAGCCAGUGGUUCGGAAAGAGGGGUGAGGAUGACAAGGGCAGGUUUUGCCUCCUUUUGAGAUUUAGCCUCGUUAACAGGCCAGGUGAGAUUUGGGAGGCUGCCAACCUCAAUUUUUUCUCAGUUCAACUGAUUCUCCCCAGUUAGAGUUUAUCCUGGCUGCUCUUGGAUGACCCCUCUUUCCAGUGGUUUAUACUAUUAGGGCACUUACAGUUUCGAACUCCUUGUUUUUAAUUCCUUGUUUUGGGCUGUGACCUUUCUCUGAGUCAUGAGUGCCUGGAAUCUAUCCAUAAAACUGGGCUUUUCAACAGCCUUUUUCUUAUGGAGGCCUUGGUAGACAGAGUGCAUUUUUUUUUCCCAUCAACUUUGUCUUCCUUGUAUGCAGCUGGUACCUGAAUCUCAGUGGCUUUUCCUUCAGUCCUUGGGACCUGACCUAAGCUGGGGCCAUUCAUCUUAGCAAACCCUUAGACUUCCAAAGAUCUAGAAUAAUAUUGACUAUUUUUGUAAAUGCCAAUAGAUCAAAAGCCCUUACUUUUCUAUUGCUUUCUUACCUUGAGUAACCAGUCCUAAAAUUUUUCUAUUGCAAACAGUCUUUAGAAAGAAGUAUUUCUCAAAUUGUUGUUGGUAGUAGAGUCAUGGUAUAAAGAGUGUGUGGAAUUUGGAGUCAGACACACGCCUUGAUUCGUGACUUCUGUCAAGUUGCUCAACCUUUUUGACUCUCAUCUGCAAAAUGGGAGUCUUUGAAGAUUGUGAGGUUUAGUGAUAAUGUGUAUGAAGGGCCUGGCACUGAGCCUAGGUUAUUGUGUUCAAUAAGUGGCCACUAUUUUAAUUAUCAGGAACCAGCAACAUGGCUAGAUCUAGUAAAAAUUGUGGGUAGGCUGUCUCCUUGGCUUAUGUAUUGUAGUCAAGGUUGUUCUUCCAGCUAACUGUGAGCCCUCAUCACUGGCCUAUAAUCAGCUGGUGGUUUGAGAGGUAGUAGCAUAACAGGUGAUUACUUGCGGAUUCCAAAGAUUUAAUGCUGUAAAUUAACAAAUAUCUAUCCGUAAUUUAAAAGUUAAAAAAUUUCUUGAGAUAUUCUCAAGCCUAUUAAAUGUACCAUGAAAUAUAUUUAAAUAUAUAAACUCUAGUGUACCAAGUAAUGCUCCCAAAAUACUCAGUGUUACCCCAGACACCUUAAUCAUAUUGGUCUGUCAAGUAUUCUGAGACUUGAAGGAUCUGGGGAAGUUCAGUUUUGAAGAGGCUGACCUGAAGCAUGACCAUAAGCUUCAUGUAUAAGGGUUAUGGGGCAGGGGCAGCCUUGUUCAAUUAUCCAAGAAGAGUCAGGAGGGGAAAGAGACCAGGUGGCCCAGGAAGAACCAGGAGGGGAGAGUGACUGUGUGGCCCAGGAGGAACCAGGAGGGGAGAGAGACCAGGUAGCCCAGGAGAACCAGGAGCGGAGAGUGACCAGGUAGCCCAGGAGGAACCAGAGGGGUAGAGUGACGAGGUGGCCCAGGAGGCACCAGGAGGGGAGGAUGACUAGGUGGCCCAGGAGGCACCAGGAGGGGAGGAUGACUAGGUGGCCCAGGAGGACUCAGGAGGGGAGAGAGACCAGGUGGCCCAGGAGAAACCAGGGUGGGGGGUGAUGAGGGGUGGAGAGUGGUCAGGUGGCCCAGGAAGAACCAGGAAGGGAGAGUGACCAGGCAGCCCAGGAGGAAUCAGGAGGGGAGAUUGACCAGGUGGCAGAUUGCAGUCCAUAUACAAAGAAGCCCUGUUAACACUGACAGCACUUUAAGCUUAGCUUUCCAAGCUGAGCUCUAGGUCCUCUGCUUGUUUCUUCUUUCUCUCUCCUUACAUGCUCAGCACCUUGACAGAGUCUUCAUUUGUAUUGAUUACAGGGCUGGGAUUGUUUUGCAAGGGGCUCCUGUAGAUUGUCAUCUUUUUGGAAGAGGUUGGAGUUCCUGUUACCUCCAGGCAAUAUGGUGUCUGUCCGGUGAACCCUGCUCACCGCACCUCUGCCCAGGUUGGGGUUGGCAGGUUAAAGAGUCCAGGAGAUGAGACCUGCUCUGUGCCUGACAGCUGUUUGAGGUGAUUAGCGAAAUCAGGGCUCUGCGAGUGAGGGGUAGUAAUACUGUUCAGGCCCCCCUGCUGAUUGUCAUCCCUCUUAACAUUUUGAUCCAAAAUUCAAAACCUGUUGCCGUUAAGUCGAUCCUGACUCCUGAUGACCCUGUGUUCUUCAGAGUAGGACUACGCUCCAUAGGGUUUUCAGUGAUUGUUAUCUUAUGGAAGUAGGUCACCAGACCUUUCUUCCAUGGUGUUGCUGAGUGGACUCAAACUGCCAACCUUUUGGUUAGUAGCUGAGUGCAACUGUUUGUACGACUCUGGGGCUCUUUAGUACUAGCUGGGAAUUCUAACAGGCUGAAGACCUAUUUGGAGUUCCUGGGUGGUGCAUACGGUUAACGUGCUUGGCUGAAAACCAAGAGGUUGGAGGUCGGAGUCCACGCAGAGGCUCCUCAGAAAAGAGGCCUGGUGAUUUACUUCCAAAAAAUCAGCCACUGAAAACCCUUGGGAGCACAGUUCUACUCUGACAUACAUGGCGUUUCCUUAAGUCAGAAUCCACUCCAUGGCAGCUAUUUUGGUCUUUUUUGGAAAGAUUAAUUUGUUUUCAUUUUUUAAUGGUUGAAGGAUGCAGGACACCUGUAGCUGUGGAGUAUUUUCAGAGGUAUCAGGGAAUGCAAACGUUUUAUAACUCAGUGGGUGAGCUCUGUUGAAUCCUGGCAAAACCCCUUCUCAUUGUCUUUGUGUUUCUAAUUCAGCGUGAUCCCUCACAGGCCCCAGUGAAUGUUUAAAUAAAUGAGUGAGUAAAUCUAUGCAUGCUCCUUUACAGAGUAUGGGAAAGAAACCAGCAAGAGGGUCAUCUGGUCUUAGAGCGCAUUGAGUUUUAUAAAUGAGGAGGAUGGUGACAGACUGGGCUCCCAAACCAAGAUGCCUGAAUCUUAGGCAUUGGACCUGCCUGUCUUGACUGCUUGCAGGUAAACAGCCUGAGUUGGUAGUGUUCUUCCUUUGCCCAGACUGGGAAAGAAGCCUGUCUGUGGGGGUGGGUAAGAGACUCUUAGUGCCAUUGGCUCCCUAAGACCCUUGUUCACCCAUGACUUAGGCUUGUCCUUAGCCUGAAUGCUUCGCCAGGUCAUUGGUCUUUCCACAGUUAAGUGCUUGGCACAUGCCCAGCGGUUGUUUCUGGUUUCCGAGGCCAGGCUAGGGGUCAUUGGCCAUGGAGUCUCAAAUCUGCAUUGAACCUAAUGAUUGCUGGAUGCUUCCUCCUCACAUCCACAGGAAGCUGCACACUGCCUCUCAGGGACUGUUUGGAUGAAGACUUUUUCAAGGAGGAUACAGGACAGCGACCUUGGAAGAAUAUCUAGGAAGUUGGUCAGAGGGAUGUUAUUGAGAAUUUUGUGGAGGCUUGCUAAUUUUUUUCUUUCUUGAAAGCAAGAGCAACUUUUGAUUUCUGUGAGGUUUCUCCUCACUGGUGGUGAUGAGGUGGCAGUGAAGUCUUUGGGGCAUGGAUGGGUUGUUUCCCUCCUGGUGGGAAGAGGGUGCCUGAAGUUUCUAAUCUCCGAAGCCCAGGAGCUGUUAUUAGCCCUUCACAGACCUCUCCUGAGGAAGCCCAUCUCCUGACAGCAGAGCUCUGUGGGGCAUCUGUGUGGGUGCAUUGGCAUUAGAACUUGAGGUAGAAUCCUUGAGACCAAGGGUUGGGUCUCUUUUCAGGAUCUGUGAUAUUUACCAGAGCUUAGUGGGCCAUUCACAAAAUGAGUAUCAAGUCCUCAGGUGUCGAGGGUCCCCAAGACCACCCUCAGGUUCGAUUAUUCACCAGGAGGACUCACUGAUUACCUGUUGCCAUCGAGUGGAUUCCAACUCAUAGUGACCCUAUAGGACAGAGUAGAACUGAACUGCCCCAUAGAGUUUCCAAGGAGUGCCUGGUGGAUUUGAACUGCUGACCUUUUGCUUGCAGCCAUAGCACUUAACCACUACACCACCAGGGUUUCUGGAGGACUUGCGGGACUCAGCAUGUAGUCAUACUCAUGGCUAUGAUUUAUUACAGUGAAAGGUUACAGGGCAAAACCUGCAAAGGGAAAAAGCACAUGGGAUGAAGCCCAGAGGAAGCAAGGCUCAAGCUCCCAAAGAUCCUCUCCCAGUGGAGUCACACAGGAUGUGCUUAAUUUGCCCAGCAGAUGAGUUGUGACAAUGUAUGUGAAAUAUUGCCAAGCAGGGAAGCUCACUAGAGAGUGCCAGGCAUUUUUUGGGGGCCUGGUUACGGAGGCACCCUCUGCCUAAAAAAAAAAAAAAAAAAAAACUCUGCCUAGCAGAUACCAAAAUUCCAGGCUCCUAAAAGGGAAGCCAGGUGUUCAGCAUAAAACAUAUUGUUUGUACAAAUAGGUAAGGCACAGUAAGCCACUCUUCUCAGUUCUGGAAAUGGUGGAAACCCUCUGGAAAUCCAAAUUUCUGCCAGCCAAGAGCCAACCUUAUAAGCUAGCCUUUCAAAGAAUGGCAGGCUACUCUGUUAAGUCUUUUCUGUACACCCCAAUAUGUAUCAGGCUUAUCAUGGAGCGAUUUAGGUGACUGAAGUCACUGGCCCUUCACCCCGAGUGUAGGCCUUCAUUGAAUCACAGAUCUGAUUCUGAGUGGCUCUUGGUGUCCUUUGUCCACCUCUGGCACUUUCCUUCACGUUGGGUAGGUAACUGCGUUCUUCCACUGCCCUGAUGUAAUUAUGUAUAUGGCUAUUGCCCUCUCUGAAUUGGAGGCAUUAAAAGGUGUAAUCCCCCCAGGCCAUUAAUUCAGUCCGUUUCUUAAAUGGCAUCUUCAGCUUCUAAGAAAACCCUGCUUUCUAAGUAUAGGACAUUCCAUCAGUAGAGGUCCCUGAACGUGUCUUUUUGUCACAGUCACAUUCCUGUUCUUGCUGUGACCCCCGUUUAUUUCACUGGUAUGGGAGUUAAACAUUCUAGUGAGAUUUGCUGACUACUGUGGCCCUCUUACUCAGAGACAGUGGCUCUGCAUCUUAGGUGUUGUGCUAGGGCUUACUAUCCUUGAGAUACAAAAUUCUCGCCAUAGCUUCUGCAGUCUGAGGCUUCGUGGCAGAGAUGCAGUUUGUUUACUCUUCUCUGAAGAGUAAGCCUUUCUCUUUCCUUCCUUGCUCCAUUCUACCAUACAGUUAAAGUUUUGAUUUUAGUUAAACAACAACAAAGAAAGAGUUGCAUUUGAUACUAAAUGCAAACUGCACUAAAUACAAAUAGCACCAUAUUACUGUAAUUUUUAAAAGAGACAAAGUACUUCUAUACAAUUUUGGCUUUCCAUGGAAAUUUCCCAAGACCUCAGCCCUCUGGUACAGAAUUCUUUCCCAUCUAACCCCCACACCCCCAGUUAUUAAAAUGGAGCCAUCCACCCAUGACGUGUAGGAGGCUGUCGCCAGGGUAGGAAAGACGUCAGACACUAUUGUCAGCACCUGUCAGGAGCUAUUAUACCAAGUCCUGAUGCCCAGAUUGUCUGAGGACUAUCGUUUUGUAAACCUUAGGCUAAGAUUAUUUUUCUUUUCCUCAGCUCCUCUUUGAAGUUAUGGGUAAAAAAAUGUGUGUGCCUGAGAGACCUGAGCGGUUGUUUAUUGUGGGUUAGUGUUUAUUGAAAGCUCUAUGGAAGUACCUGUUGGCCAUUUGGAGGCCAGACAGUGGGAGCUACGUGUUUUCAAAAUUAUUCUGUGGAUGUACAUCAGUUUGUAUUUGCAGAAAGCUUCACAACUAUUUAGUGAACUACGGAGUUUAAAUUGAUAUGACUGAAAUGUUGUGCGUUUUGCUAUUUGACUGCAUUUUAGGGCUUGGUUGUGAUAACGACUGUGGAUUUUGCUCUUACUGCCCCUCCUCCCCUUCCUUUAUUCAGCGUUGCUGAUGUGAACACCUGCUAAAUGAAACAAGCAGCAGAGGUGUGCUUCUGAAUGGUUUGCAGCUUAACCUGAGAGUCCUCAGAGGGAGGAAAAUUUACUUUGUUUACUUUGCUUCUUCUCCCGUGUCUUUGAUGUAAGACAGCCUGAGGAGAUUUGGUUUUUCUAAACAAAAUGGGGAAAAAAUUAAUGGCCUGAUUUGUCUUAUUUUCUAGCAGGAAAUUCUCUGGUGAAGGGCAGAGAUGAAGCUCUCCUGACCUGGGACCCAUUCCUCAUAAAAGCAGCAUUUUAAUUAUGUAGUAUGAGUUUUGUUAGGAGUCGGAACUGACUUGAUGGCACCUGACGACAGUAUGAAACAGUGAGGCAGUGGUGGUUCGGUGGUAGAAUUCUCACCUUGUGUGUGGGGACUUGAUUAGUUUCCUGCCCAAUGCACCUUAGGCACAGUCACCUGUCAGUGGAGGCUUGUGUGUUGCUAUGGUGCUGAACAGGCUUCAGUGGAGCUUCCACACUAAGAUGAACUAGAAGGAGUGGCCUGAUGAUCUGCUUCCAAAAAUCAGCCAGUAAAAACCCUAAUGGAUCACAACAGCCCUAUCCACAACUCAUCACAGGAAUGCCGCAGGACCAGGCAGUGCUUUUUCUGUUAUGUGUGGGGUCGCCAUGAGUUGGGACCAACUCCAUAGCAGCUAACAACCACCAUAACAGUAUGAAAGAUAUAGAUCUUUGUUCAUUUUUUCUCCUCCUAUUAUAUGUUAUUCUUUUUCAAUACAUAUAUUUUUGUUCAAGUUGGUAUAACAAAAGCCAAACUGUUUUUUGUUCUUGUCUCUCAGUCUGAACUUAACUUUUCUUUAUAUAUUUUACCCUGUAAUCAAAGAUGGAGCUAAACCCCUGAAAUAAACUGGAAAGCACUCGAUACCAAUCCAUUUCAGUGAAAUCUCCAGAACAUAGAAUGGAUUGAGAAUUGUGUAAAUUGAUUUUUUUUGUGCAUAAAAAUGUUUAAAAAAAUGAAAAUUUACAAUUUAGUUAAAAUUAGAAUCUCUUUGAUGGCCAUAAAAUACAGGUGUGAUAAUUCUUUCUGCUUUAUUGAUGAAUUGGAAUGGACCAAAAACUCAAUAAAAUUGUAAAAUACAGGCUAAAAGAGUGAUCAAAGUAAUGUUUGUUAGUACUUUACUUUUCUUAAAACUUUGAUUUCUGUUAAACUUUAUACAAAAAUGGAAUUUUAUUCUACUAACAUUUUAUUUCAGGUAGACCUACAAGACCUUCCCAUUCAUAUUCCCUGUUUUUAGUUGCUUCCCAAGACCUUGAAAAUUCACCUUCAGUCAGAGUUUUCACAUGUCCAAAGUCUUUCUAAUGAUGUUACCUUUUUAGGUUGUAAAAGGCUAUAUGUGGAGUAUUGUCUUCUCCUGUCCUAUUGUACAGCCCUGGUGGUACAGUGGUUAAGAGCUCAGGUGCUUACCAAAAGGUCAGCAGUUCAAGUCCACCAGCCGCUGCUCGGAAACUGGAUGGGGCAGUUUUGCUCUGUCCUGCAGGGUUGUUAUGUGUUAGAAUUGAUUUGAUGGCAAUGAUUUUGUCCUACUGUAUCCUAUUGUGUCUUUUCCUAACCUAUGCUAUCCUAUCCUAUCCCAUUCUAUUUCAUCCCAUUUUUUUUUUUUAUUCUUAGAAAGAAAAGACUAACAUGAAAAUUUCAUCUGUUGUUGAAGAUUUUGGCAAAAGUGAAAAUCCAUUUGUACGGAGAAGUAUGUUAGAUGUGAAUUCUCCGGAAAAUGUCCACAAUUCAGCCAUAGGAGGAGACAGUGAUGGCAGUUUCCAGCCAAAACUCUGAAGAAGACAGGGUAUUCUUUGCCUCUUUCCCAUUGUCUUAGAUAUAGUACUGCUAUAAUAGAAAUACCACAAGUGGAUAACUUUAACACAGAGAAAUUUAUUUUCUCAUUGUCUUAGAUAUAGUACUGCUAUAACAGAAAUACCACAAGUGGAUAACUUUAACACAGAGAAAUUUAUUUUCUCAGAGUAUAGUAGGCUAAAAGUCCAAAUUCAGGGCAUUAGCUCCAGAAGAAGGCUUUCUCUCUCUGUUGGCUCUGGAGGAAGGUCUUUCUCGUCAGUCUUCCUCUGGACUAGGAGAUUCUCCCUGCAGGAACCCCGGUACUUCUUUCUUGGUGGUAUGAGGUCCCCAACUCUCGGUAGUAUGAGGUCUUUUGUAAGAUAAAAGGUGAUGCAGGCCACACCCCAUGGAAACUCCCUUUACAGUGGCUCAGGGAUAUGACCUGAGCAAGGGUGUUACAUUCCAUCCUAAUCCUCUUUAACCACAGGCAAAGAUUAUGAUUUAUAACACAUAGGAAAAUCACAAAAUGGAGGACAACCACUUAAUACUGGGAUCAGAGCCUAACCAAGUUGACAUAUAUUUUUGGGGGACACAAUUCAACCCAUGACACCCAUUUUAUCUUUUUCUCUGAUUUCCUUUACUUUUUCUACUUCUUUUCUCUCACUCUUUCCUUUCUAAUCUUUCUCUUCAGCUUUGAGCCAUUUUCUUUUAUUCUCUUAUUAGCUCACAGCAGUUGAUAAAGUGAUCCUCUCUCAGAGUUAUCUAUUGUUUUAAGGACUCUGGAAGUCAGUUAAGAAAUUAACCUUCCAUAGUGAAAUUUUGGCCUGAGAAGAGAAGAUAUUAAUGAGCAGAAAGUUUGUUCAGGGAAUUGCUAUUUAUAAAAUUUAUUCAGUAUUCAUGGAACAGAUAUGAUGGGUACCUACUGUGUGCCAGGCCCUGCAGUCAAGCACAAAGAUGGAUAACACACAUUGCUUGAAUUUUGGGAAGCCCUGUGUUUUUUUUUUUCUGUGUUAGCAGGGAAGGGGGCAGAGGUAAACAUAGAGAUUAGUAUUUGCAAUAUAACGUGCUAAUUUCCCUCACAGAGGCAUGAGCCAUGUCUUUUGUUCAUAUAAUCAGGCACCAGACUGGCCAUGGAAUUCUCCAUUUCCCUGGCCUCUGCAACUUUGAGGAGUGGAGGAUGCUGAUUAGAGUUAAUGUGACAGUUCCAAAAUAAAGUCAACUUGGAGCCUGUUUAAAUAUUGCACAGCUAGAGUUUAGUUAGACUUAGCUUUAGUUCUACCCUUUUUGUUUUGGUUUCCUUUGGCAUGAAGGAUGGGCCUUAGUUCUGCCCUCUCUCCUUGUUAGUUGCCUAGCUUCCAUUGUUAGGACUGCCACUGAAAAACCCCAUUGCUGUAGAAUUGAUUCCGACUCAUAGUGACCCUAUAGUACUGUCAUUACGUACCCUGAGUUUGGGCAAGAAAGGGGAAGACAUGAUUGGACUUCAGAGUACACAAACUCUCCUUCAGGUAUUCAAAGUAUCACCAUGUACACUUCCUUUUUUUUGUUUUUAAUUGUGGUGUAAAUAUACACAGCAAAACCUUCAUCAAUUCAACAAUUUCCACAUGUACAAUUCAGUGACAUUGACUACAUUCUUCGUGUCAUAAAACCUUUGUUGCUAUCCUUUUCCAGGUUAUUCCAUCACCACUAGCACUGUGUACAUGCUCAACAUAAAUUUUUAGACAUGAAGCUUUCCCAAGGACUUUUUUUUUCCUGACUGGCCUUUAGCCAUUAUAAUAGUUGCAUUUGUACUGUCUGUGGUAAUAAAAAGAAAAAAAAGUUCCCAGCCUAUCUGAAGUAAAAGUCAUAAACCAUGCCUUGACAACUGUAGCAAAUUAUAUUACUAAUUUAUUUUUAUUGUUAGUAUAAAUUUUAAUUGCCUUACUUAUCUUCUUGCCUGAGUAUUGUUUUGGGGGAUGAAGUUAAUGUUUUGAAAGUCAGUUCAGAGAUGAAUGAAUGAUGUGGUCAUAAUAGCAGAUACAGACAUGUCGCUGGCAUUUUGUGAAUGUCAAAUACUAAUUUUAACAACAGUAAAUUUUUAUAAAGAACAAGUAGUUCCCAACUAGUGAAAGGAAGGUGAUCUGUGUGAGAGACGGUUAUUUGUAGAUUCCACUGUUCAUUUCUAUUGCAGAUAUGCGAUAGAAAAAUAUUACCUCUUUGCCUUGUCACCUUCAUCAUUUAGCCUGCUAAUAUUUGAGGAAGCUCAGAUCUUCAAAGUAGAGAGAAUGGCCAUGAUAUACUCCUUUCUUUUUGUAAUCUAGGCCCUUUUCAGCAACCUCUAUACCAGUAAUUGCCCAACUCUUUGGAGUUGGAACUUUCUGUCCUUGUCGUUUUGGUUUUAUUCUACUCUUCUCCCUGCCUUCCAAAUGUUGUAUGCUAUAUCUUGGUUUGACUUUGACUUCCUUUGAGAAUUCUCUGACUUCCCCAAGAUUACAUGGGACACCCUUUUUCUUGUUGGGAAUAAUCGAACUAAAUUGGAAGAGGCUCUGGCAUAGGACUGAGGACCAUUCUAAGAAGCCGUUUUCUUAGUUCGUCCUCAGAAACCUCACCUUUUCUAGGAUGGCCUGUUUGGAUCUAAUAUUUUUGGUCUUGUUUUAUUUUAGCUUGGAAGGCACAGCUUCAGAGAAGUAGUUUAAUUAUAAAGACUCAUUGAGAGUCAUUGUCAGUAUGGGAAAAGUUAGUGAAGGGACUGGAACGUUGGCUGCAGUUGUUGUUGGUAAUUGCCAUCAAGUCAGUUCUGAGUCAUGGCGACCCCAUGUGUGCAGAGUAGAACUGCUUCAUAGGGUUUCCAAGGCUGUGUCCUUUCAGAAGCAGAUUGCCAGGCUUAUCUUCCAAGGCUCCGCUGGAUGAGUUCAAAGCACCAAGCCUUCAGCCGGUAGUUGAGUGCUUAGCUGUUUGUGCCACCCAGGGACUCCAUGUGAAGACUUUUUCUGCAGAAAUUUAUCCUUAAAGGGAAUGAUCGGCCCUUUCUGUCAUAUGGCGAGAGGCUGAAUGGGGAGCCUCGAUCCUCUGGGUGCUCUGAGCAGCUCCCAGUUAGGUCUCUAAAGGAGAAAUUGCAGAACUGCCUGGACUUCUUGCUCAGGUUUGUCCAGAAAAGAGUCAAGCAGCAGUUGAAUGAUUUGUACUUUCAUGGGAGAAACAAAGUAAAAGGUUUUUUUGACAUCAAAUUUUGUUUUAGCUGGGGCAGACUUUUUUUUUUCUUUCACUUUUUGUUUUUGAUUCUUCUGUACUAUUUUUAAAGUAGUGAGACGGAAUUAUCCCUGAACAACUUCUCCCAGGUGUCCAAAAUGCUGACUCUAUUACUUAGAGCUCAGUGGUCCUCUUCAGUGUUCUUGAGCUCUGUGUGCCCAGUUACUUCAUCUCUAUAAUGGAGACGGUAAUCUCAGUGGAUGUUGUGGUGAUUAACUGAGAUAAUUCUUGUAAAGUAAUUAGAAUCCACCCAUUGCUGUCGAGUCAAUUCCGACUCAUAGUGACCCUAUAGGACAGAGCAGAACAUCCCCAUAGGGUUUCCAAGGCUGUAAAUCUUUAUGGAAGCAGACUGCUGUAUCUUUCUCCUGUAGAAUAGCUGGUGGGUUCAAACCACUGACCUUUAGGUUAGUAGCUGAACGCUUUAACCACUACAUCCCUGGGGCUCUUUUGAAACAAUUAGAAUAGUGCCCGUUAAUGGUUACUAUUGUAAGAUUAUAUACUAGUUCUAGUUAUGGAAGAUUCUAGUUUCUUGGUGCACAGGUAUGGUCUUUGAAACCCUGAGCGGAUGUCUAUGCAGGCUAAUGUUAAAUUAAUAUUUGGUCAUUUCUUGGUUAUUUGAAUCAAACAAGGAAGCCAGUCCAGGAACCUAUGCUUUUCCUUAAAGCCUGGUUUGCCAUACCAUUUGGAAGAUGUGCAGCCUCUCCUUAGCUGAGUGGGUAGAGUCAAAUAGUCCUCUGAGGCGGUGCCAGUGUGGAGGUCAUCUCCUGUAGCUGCUCCCGUGUAACCCAGAAAACCACGUAGAGGGUAUGAAAUGCUGAGAAUAGCCCUGGGAGGAACCAUGCUUGGCUGUUAACCAGCUCCACCACUAGCCAGCUGUGAGUAACUCAGGUCAGGCCAACUCUUUAUAUAUUUAUUGCACUCACUCCAUUUGUAAAAAAUGCUGAGGCAUUAAAAUAAAUUAAAGACAUCUUGAUAUUCCACUUCUAAUAAUAACACAUAGUAUGGAUCGGAAAGAAGGAAAGAAUAGAAAAAAUGAAAGUUUUCCCUAUGUAACCAGAAUAACAUUAUCACAACUAAUAAGAAUUGAUAAAAAUUCUUAAUGUCACCUACUAUCUAGUUCAUGGAAACCCUGGUGGCAUAGUGGCUAAGUGCUACGGCUGCUAACCAAGGGUUGGCAGUUCAAAUCUGCCUGGCGUUCCUUGGAAACUCUGUGGGGUAGUUUUACUCUGUCUUAUAGGGUCGCUAUGAGUCGGAAUUGACUCGAUGGCAGUGGGUUUGGUUUUUUCAUUAAUUUUUUUAAUCCAGUUCAUAUUAAAUUUCCCCCAUUGUGGUUAGGUCAUAUACUGAAUUUAUAGUACUGUCAUCUCUUCAUCUGAGGAAUGAGGAGGUAGACCUACCUAAAUGAUAUGAGGUUCAUAUUAGUAUUACUACUUUGAAAGCUUAAUACCCUUAGGAAUUGCCACUGUUCCUUUGUUCAUUUAUUUCUUGUUUUUUGGAGGAGGAUAUAAGCUUUAGAGACAAAAACUGUGGCUCUAAAACAUGAUGAAAUGGAAAUUUGGAAGUUAUUUGGUUAAUGGACUCAAUAGAUACAGAUUGGUGUUGCCUCAAACUGGGCUUGAAUCAUAGAUUGGGCAGACCUAGCAUUUACCCUGGUUAGGUAAAUUGUAUAAUUGCCAGAGAGAAGGAGAUAGUAUAUUAGUUUUAGGCCCAAUGGGUUUUGGGGUUUGCAUUUUAUAGUCUCCAUAAAUGUUCAUGAUGCCCUUUACAGUUACAAGAAGAACUUGAACAGUCUUCUUGAUUUAGUUUUGUUUUGACAUUUGAAAUGCUGAUGUUUUAUUCAAGGAAACUAAAUGGUGGGUCUAUCAGAUUACCUGCCUAGGGAAACUCCCAUUGUUCCAGAAUAAAAGAAGAAUGAAAAAGUCAUGCUUUGGCUGCCUAGUGGAUAUCAGGUGGCAGCAGCCCAGAGGUCACUGCUGUUUGGCACAUUCUCUGCCUCGUGCAGGUUCUCCUGUGAAGACCCUUCCUGGCUUCUUAGCCUACCCACCAAAACCUGCCCAGGCCACCUCGUUGUGUAUGUUAGGAAUGAGAUCUCCCCCCUGAGUUCUGAACCAGCUGAAAAGUAGGACUGUGGGGUCAGGCAGAUGGAGAUCAAAAUAUUAACUUUAUUACUUAUAAAAGCUAAAUUGGAGGGCUUGUGAAUCAGUGAUAUGUGAAAACAAAGGACUUUUUAAUCCUGAACCUCAGAAUUGGACAGACUUGCCUAGUGGGCACAGGCAGGGUGGUGCCGCAGGCCUCCUCUCCUGGCAUGGAGGAGAGGAGCAGUGUGUGGGCCCCUGGCAGGCAGCUGGCUCCCAAGAAAAGGAAGAGAGAAAGGGCUGAGCAACCCUGACCAGUUCCCCUCUGCCGGUCAGGUAAGUCCUUCCUCUGGUUAUUCACCUUUCAGUACUCUAGGAGGCAGUAUUCCCCAGGGGCCUAUCUCAUGGCCGCUUUGUGGGUCUUCUCCCCUGGGGCAGGCCCUUCCCUCGGUUUGGCUUCAUUGAUAUAUUUAUUUAUAGGAGUGAGAGAAAUGAGAUAUGUUCUGGUAAUAGUGUUCAAUAAAUAUUGUCAUUCAUAUGAUAUACACUCUUUGAAUAGGUUAGAAAUUUUUUUUUUAAAUUCACCAUUAAAAUUUCCCCCAAAUCUGAAUAUUUGUUGAAUGGGUGAAUAUACUGAUGGCUCUUUUUGCAUUUGGGGAGCUGAGACUUGAGGUUGGUUGUAUGCUUUGGGGAGGAAGAGGAAGUGGGCUGGAGAGCUAAGAAUUUCCUGAAGGUUUACAGCCUAGAGGAAUUCCAGGCACUCUGGAAGGGGCUUAUGCUCUGAGCAUUCUGGGAGCUAGCUCCUCCCACUUAUGGGCUUUCUGCUCCUUGGUUCUGGGAACCAGGGAAUCGUAGACAUUGAGAACUUGGGACAACACUUCUUUUGGAAGCCUCCUCCUUUCCCAAGUGGCCAAGCAGUCCCCUCAUUGAGGGAGAAGCUUGGGACUAGCCACCCAGAUCCCAUGAAGAAGCUGAUGAGAAGGGGAAGGAGGAGUCAAGGGCUUGUAGAGCUGGUGGGUGGGGUAGGCAGAACUUGUUGAUCCCUUGCAAAGUAUAGAAACCAUCUUUUGUGUCAGAAGUGUUUUGACACAAAGUAAGGAGCACGAGAAUGACCUUUGUUCUAAUUAAUGGAAUGGAAGGUUGCAUUACAUUUUUAAAGCACACUACUGAAAUAUAUGUGUUGCUUUUUUGGUCAUCACAGCACACUUCUGAUUCACGUUGAAUGUGAACUUAUUAUCUUAAACCCCUACAAUGCUUAAAUAACAACUGUUACACAUAUUUUUAUUACCUUGUCUCUUUUGACCUGAGUCAUUAUAUUUUCUGUACCUAAUUAUACGUUAAACCUGUUAGAUCCAGACCAUGGAACCAGACUGUCAUGAUCUUUUAGAAUGUUGAGUUUUUUAUCUGGUUUGAUUUUGGGUUGUCUACAAAUAUGAUGACCAUAUCCUCUUUGUCUUUACACAAGUCACCAAAAAAAGUGUGGAAGAGGAAGGGGUCUGUGACAGAGCCCUUUGGGAUGCUGUGGAACAUUACCCCUCCCCAUUGGCUUUGGGUAUUGCUCUGCAGUUGUUCACUUAGCUAAUUUUUCUUCCACCUAGCCUGUAUUUCUUCAUUUUGUUCACACAGAUUCAUAAAGAGACUUGUCAGCAUGUUGUAUGUCUGUACAUUUCCAUGUUAUUAACAGUCUUCAAACUUGUUAAGAACUGAACUAAGUCCAGUUGGUCAUAUAUGCUUCUAGAUUUUUUGUGGGGAUAGGUAAUGAUAGCUGCCAAAAAGUUUUAGGUGAGUGAGGGUUAACUAUUUUCCCAAAUCCUCACCACCAGUUUAUAAUGAAAGUGAAUUUCAGACUAAAUUUAGCCUAAGACAUUUAUUAAGUAGACAUGUAUUAGCAAGCAGGCAUCAUUCAGUCUGUAUGGUUGAUUCUGUCAGCUAAAGUCCCAGCUCUCAGACCCCCUUAGGUGCUCUGACCACCACUUUGCAUUAAAGCUUUCCUUGAGAGACUGGAACACUUAUACAUUGCUGAUGGGAAUGUAAAAUGGUACAACCGCUUUGGAAAUUGAUUUGGCGCUUCCUUAAAAAGCUAGAAAUAGAACUACCAUAUGAUCCAGCAAUCCCACUCCCUGGAAUAUAGCCUAGAGAAAUAAGACUCUUCACACGAACAGAUAUAUGCACACCCAUGUUCAUUGCAGCACUGUUUACAAUAGCAAAAAGAUGGAAACAACCAAGGUGCAUAUCAAUGAUGAAUGCAUAAUUAAAUUAUGGUAUAUUCUCACAGUGGAAUACUAAGCGAUGAUAAAGAACAACAAGGAAUCCUCAAAACAUCUCCUAACAUGGAUGAACCUGGAAGGCAUUAUGCUGAGUGCAACUAGUCAGUUCCAAAAGGACAAAUAUUGUUAUGAGACCACCAUUAGAAGAACUGAAGAAAAGGUUUAAACACAGAAGAAAACAUUCUUUGAUGGUUACAAGGGUGGGGAGGGAAGGAGAGGUAUUCAUUAACUAGAUAGUAGACAAGAUUUAUGUUAGGUGAGGGGAAGGACAACAUAUAAUAGAGGGGAGGUCAGCACAACUGGACUAAACUAAAAGCUGAGAAUUUCCUGAAUACAACCAAACACCAAACACUUCGAGGGACAGAGUAGCAGGGUCGGGGGUCUGGGGACCAUGGUUUCAGAGGACAUCUAGGUCAAUUGGCAUAAUAAAGUUUAUUAAGAAAAUGUUCUGUAUCCCAUUUUGGUGAGUGGCGCCUGGGGUCUUAAAAGCUUGGAAGUGGCCGUCUAAGAUGCAUCAAUUGGUCUCAACCUACCUGGACCAAAGGAGAAUGAAGAACACCAAAGACACAAGGAAAAUAUUAGCCCAAGAGACAAAAAGGGCCACAUAAACUAGACUCCAUCAGCCUGAGACCAGAAGAACUAGAUGGUGCCUGGCUACCGCCAAUGACUGCCCUGACAGGGAACACAACAGAGAAUUCCUGACGGAGCAGGAGAAAAGUGGGGUGCAGAACUCAAAUUCUAGUAAAAAGACCAGACUUAAUGGUCUGAGUGAGACUGGAGGAACCCCGGAGACAUGGCCCCUGGACUUUCUGUUAGCCCAAAACUAAAAUCAUCCCUGAAGUCAGCUCUUCAGACAAAGAUUAGACUGGACUAUAAGACAUAAACUGAUGCUCAUGAAGACAGUGUUUCUUAGUUCAAGUAGAUACAUGAGACUGAAUGGGCAGGUCCUGUCCGGAGGUGAGAUGAGAAGGCAGAAAGGGACAGGAGCUGGUUGAAUGGACACGGACACGGGAAAUCUGGGGUGGAUAGGAGGAGUGUGCUGUCACAUUAUAGAGAGAGCAACUAGGGUUAUAUAAAAAUGUGUGUAUAAAUUUUUGUAGGAGAAACUAACUUGCUGAAAACUUUCACUUACGGCACAAUUAAAAAAAAAAAUUUUCCUUGAGGUCGAUUUGCCAAUAUCCUGCCUUUUACCUUAUGAUAGACAUCAAACAAACAAACAAACAAAAAACCAUUGCCGUUGAGUCAAUUCUGACUCAUAGUGACCCUGUAGGAGAGAGUAGAACUGCCCCAUAGGGUUUCCAGUGAACGGUGGUGGAUUCUAACUUGCAGACCUUUUGGUUAGCGGCUAAGCUCUUAACCUCUGCACUGCCAGGGCUCCAUGAUAGACAUCAGACAGCCAGAAAUCCUCCAAACCAUAGGCUGGACUUUUUUAAGGAUUACACCCAAGGGUACAGGCUAUAGGCCUUGCUGGGUGGAUUCUUAUACCCUUAUACCCUAUAUAUGCAAGGAUGUUGUUGUUGUUGGGUGCCGUCAAGUUGGUUCCCACUCAUAACGACCACGUGUGACAGAGUAGAACUGCCCCAUAAGCUUUUCUUGGUUGUAAUCUUCACUAAAGCAGAUUACCAGGUUUUUCUCCUGCAGAGCUGCUAACCUUUUGGUUAGCAGCCAAGUGCUUAACCAUUGUCUCACCAGAGCUUCUUGAUAGGGAGUAUCUAAAAUAUUUUAGUUCAUUCUUAACAUUCAUUGUGCUAAUUAACAAACUACUAAUUUCAUCAAUAAAAACCCAUUUCUGAUAUUCACCCUUCUUGGUGUCUGUGUUACUCAAGUAUAGAUAGCAGGAUGUCUUGAUUAAGAUGCUGGCUGACCAGCUCUGGACUGUGAACUAUAAUUCACGUACAGUAAAGUUCACAAACAUUCUGGUGCAUGUCCUGGGUGAACAGAGUAUAAGUUAUUGAUCAGGGUGACUAACAACAUCUAGAGUUGAAGUUUAAACUGACUAGCGGUUAAUUAGCCCAUGCCGAAGAAUUUUAAAGUAAAUCGAAGGCAUUAUACAAAAUGAUACCAAACAAAAGGGUGAAUUUGGUGUAGUGUGAUUUGUACUUAGAGAAGCCAGGCUGGUACCGAAGUAGAUCGUUACUUUUGUGCUUUUUGCCUGUAACAGAUAUUCUCAGCCAAACCAAAAUCCAAACCAAACCCAUUGCCAUCGAGUCGGUUCCAAUCCAAAGCGACUCUAUAGGACAGAGUAGAGCUGCGCCAUAGAGUUUUCAAGUAGUGCCGGUGAAUUCAAACUGCCAGCCUUUUGGUUAACAGCUGUAGCAUCUAACCACUGUAUGCUACCAGGGUUUCCAAUUCCCAGCCAGAGGAUCAAUUUCCUGAAAGCAGAGAUUCUCAUGUGAAAGCAUGUUGUUCCCUCAUGCCUUCUCUAGAAGGGUGGGAAAAGAACCUUUUUGUUAAUUCUGCAAAUAGGCAUGCAUUUUCUAAUUUUAGAUUCUCACUGUGAAGAAAGUCAUGAAUUACUAAAAACCCAGAGAAUAUAAGCUAGUAUUUAGGGGUUCCCCUGAGUUGGAAUGAAUAAGGUUUUUAAAUAUUCAUUUGUAUAUUUCUUUUCAUGUCGUUUUGUGUAAUAUGAUGAAAAAAUGUUUGCUGCUGAUUUAGAAUCUCUGAAUACUCUUAUAAAAAUUUAAUUCCACCCAUAUUAACUUGGUUUUAAAGGCUUUUUUAAGGGUCUGUUUUCCUCUAAUAGGUUGCUAGAGGGAAAAUCUGUUAGCCUAAGAGAAUUGAUGGGUGGAAGUAGACUAGGGAAACUGAACUCAGACCAGCACUGGGGGAUGCUGCAUUGAUUUAAAUUUUAAAAACCCAGACCCAGUGCUGUCGAGUCGAUUCCGACUUAUAGCGACCUUAUAGGACAGUGUAGAACUGCCCCACAGAGUUUCCAAGGAGCGCCUGGCGGAUUCAAACUGCCGACCCUUUGGUUAGCAACUGUAGCACUUAACCACUAUGCCACCAGGGUUUCCUUAAAUUUUAAAAGGGUCUGCAUUUUAUGAAAGUAAAGAAGGUUAGUGUUCCUUUUGGCAUGGAUGGAAACGAUUCUGGUUGACCUGUACCACACAUGCAGAGAUAAGGCAUUACCACCCCUUUGUGGCACCUCAUCAUGUUUUUGAACAUCCCCAAGGGAGGGGAGUCUGGCAGUGUGAACCAAAAUUACAGACGAAUUUCCCCUUUGAGCCAGCAUCCUAUUUGGGAUUCUAUCAUACAGAUAUACCUGCACAUGUAUGAAAUGACAUUUGUACAAGGUCAUUAUUGCAGCUCUGUGUGUAACAGCAGGUCAUUGGAAACCACCAAGUGCCCAUCAGUAAGGGGCUGGUUAAAAGGACUGUAGUGGAUGCCUACAGUGGAAUGCUCUGCAGUUACCAAAAGAGAACAUUGGAGACCUAUGUUAUGAUAUGGAAAGAUCCCCAGGAUACAUUACCAAGUGAAAAAACCACGGUGGAGGUUACUAUGUACAGAAGGAUACUCUUGUGUCAAAAAAGGGGGGGUAUGAAAAUAUCUAUUUGAAUUUGCUUACGUUUGCAUAAAGAAACACUGAAGGGCAAACAAGAAACUAAUAAAAAUGCUUAUCUGUAGUGGGCUGAGGGAAUAGAGUGAUUGGGAAUAUGUGUAGGACUGACUCCUCUGCAUAUAUCUUUUUAUAUUGUGUUUACUUUUGGAUCACACAUGGGUCGCCGUGAGUCACAGUUGACUCUAUGGCAUCUGAUGGUUUACACUGAAUCAUGUAAAGAACAACCAACCCAUCAGUCAACCAACUAACCAACCAACAAAAGUGAAUCUGACGAGUCCUUGGGUGGCACAAAUGGUUAAGUGCUGGAAUACUAACUGAAAGGUUGGUGGUUCAAACCCACCCAGAGGCACCUUGGAGGUAAGACCUGGCGAUCUGCAUACAAAAGGUCACAGCCUUGCAAACCCUAUGGAGCAGUUCUACACUGCACACAUGGGGUCACCUUCAGUCAGGGUCAACUCAAUGACAACUAAUAAUAACAACAGUGGUGGUUUCAUGCUACAAUGACAGAGUUGAGCUGUUGGGACGGAGACCGUAUUGCCCACAAAACUGAAUAUAUCAAGGAAUGACCUUUGACAUAGAACUAGACCAAAAGUAAGAGUCAGAAAGUGCAGCUGGUUCAAUACAUGAUGAAAGGGUGAGGCAAUCCACUUGACUUCUUAAGUUGGACCAUUCGAUGAACAAAUGCUUAGGGAGCCCCUUCUACGUGCCAGGCACUAUUUUAGGUGCUGCAGGCACAGCUGUCAAUGGGAAUAUUAAGUCCAUGCUUUCAUGGAGCUGACAUUCUAGAAGGGGCAAUUAGACAACGAAUAAGUGAUGAAAGGAGGUCAAAGGAGGGAGAAAAGGCUCAUGCACUAGAGUCUAGUGAGGAAGGGCGAGAGGAACCCACAGGAGGUUAGAAAGGAAGGUUAAUUGGUGAUCUAUUCCUGUGUAUUUAUAGUGCAUUUAUGUACAAUAUUAUCACACGUAGCAUAAGAAAGUGGUGUAAUUCUCACAUUUAAAUGUUUGCAACAGCAGUCAAGAUUUCAUUUUACCAUCAUAUUAUCACAUUACCUACGUUUCAAAUAAAGAAAAAAAGAACACGUUAUUCAGGUCACUGUACCCCAGUCUACUGCUGUGUCGUGAGAGACUAGAAUUUAGUCGAAUAAAUAAAAGGUUGAUUUGACCGUGGGAGUUUGCUUUCCCAACAGUUGGCUUAUAUUGAGGAUAAUGUUAUCUAUAUGAUUUGUGACUGCAACCAGAGGUUAUUUAACAGUCAAAACGUUACUAGGAAAAGUAUUAUUUUUUUCCCCUUGAGGAGUGGUUAAAAUUUAAAUUGCCUCUUUUUUUUUUUUUUUUACUAUAUAAUAUGUUAACUACAGAAAAUGAAAACACACACACACACAGACACACACACAGAGGAACCACAUAAUCUUCACAUUCCAUCUAAUCUUCGUGACAGUCAUUGUCUGCAAAUACCACUCAGCUCUUUCCACAGCACAUGUUGUAGGUAUUGGAAACAUACUUCUAUGUUUACUUUUUUCUUCGUCUGGUCUUUUACUGGCAGAUUUCUCUUUCAUAGUUUCUGAAUCAGAUGAAAGAUGAAUAUGGUUAUUUAGAAGAAGUUUCUAUAAUGAUUUUUUAAAGAGACAGAUUUUUCUCUGUCCCUUUGGGUUCAAUUAAAUUUGUGGCAAAACUUGAGAAAUAAUGAGAAACAGAUCAAAGUCAUAGGAAAAGGCAAUGACCAAAGUGUUUUCUUGCAUCUUAGACUCUACAACAGUGGUUGAGUCUCGUUUAGAUAUGAAGGAAUAACCAACACAGACUGGGCAGCCAGACUUGGGAGUCUGGGUUAUUCCUGACAGCCAAAGACCAAAAUUUAAACCUGUCUGAUAUGGGAACAGCAAAUUCACAAGCAAUCCUAGAAUUGUGAUUUAGCUAAGAAAGCACCAGAAAUCAGAUUUGUUUUAAGGGUUAAAAAAUGUAGAGUAUUACAGAUCUUUAUUUCAUAAUCGUGAGAAAUUCCACUCCAUGGAAUAGUAAGGAAGGCGCUCCAGGAGUCCCAGGAAUUGGCUGUCAUCCUAGGAAAUGCAAAAAAGAGGUGAGAAUGGAGACUUGUCAUUGUACUUCCCUAUUCUCUAUUGCUCAAAAGGCUUGGGUCAUUCAUUGUCUUUGUGACUGGCUGUUUCAGAACUUUGUCAGCUUGGUACCCUGGGACCCUCAGGGUGAUAUUAGGAGGGUGAGAUGUUGCUCCCAGAAGGUGGAGAAAGAAGGGUAUACAGUAGCAGCACAGCCUCUUCCACUCUGCCACACUUACUGGCGAAGCAGGAAUAUGUGCUGACAUCACUGGAGUUGGCUGGGGAAGUUCUAAUGCGAGUCCAGUCCGCGAUGGCAUGACUGUUCACACUCACUGUCAUUAACAGUGAGGUAACCUUGCAAAAAAUGGUAGAUUUGCUUUAAGCAGCUAUGCUUUUAGGUAUAGCAAGGAACCUGCGAACUGCGAGGAUAUGUCGCCAGUGCUCCCUAAGUUGCAUGUUCUUUCUGAGUUUAGUUUCUAGACAGAUAGUAAGAACCAGGAAGCAAACAUGAAGAAGGGCAACGGGGAAAUUCAGUGAAGCGGCUGAUUCUCCAGUACUGUUUGCUAUUUCAGGUAGCAGUUUAAUGAAUGGACGUUAUUGUAAGUAUGCAUAUCCAGAAGUCAUGCAACAGCAUAUGAAGUAUUUCACAAUUAUUUUUAGGCAUUCUUCCUCUUUGAACGUAGUCAAUGUUGUUUGUUGUUGUUAGCUGCCGUCAAGUCAAUCCCGACUCAUAGUGACCGCAUGUGUGCAGAGUAGAACUGCUUCAUAAGGUUUUCAAGGCUGUGAUCUUUCAGAAGCAGAUCUCUACGCCUCUGGGUGAGUUUGAACCACCAACCUUUCAACUAGUAGUCAAACACUUAGCCAUUUGUGCCACCCAGGGACUAGUUACAUUGAAGGAGACUGUAUUGUUUUGCCACAGUAUCUAUGAAAUAAGAAGUUUGUUUUCCUUCAUAGAAACCAAAGACCUCUUUUCUUGGAAGCAACUCACUGUUUUCUAAGUACACAGUAAAGGCUGUUCUCUGUAUCCACUUCUUCAGUGUUCUCCCAGCCAGUACUUCAUACAUCUUCGCUGCAGGGGAAGAUCCUUGGCACUCUUGUGAGUCAGUCAGUGAGAGAAGAUAAGCUUAUGUUCAUAAUAGUUUUACGGUUCUGCCAAAGCUUCAAUUCUGUUAAUUUUAUGAAAUAUAAAUGCAGUUUCUUAUGGGUCUAUUUUGAUGAAUUACAAUUUGUAUUUAUGGCCUCCUAGGAGUUUUAAAAACUGCUGAUAAGCAUUUGAGUCUAUUUGUGAGAGUCUCAAGGCUGUCGGACAAAAUUGGUAUAAGAUAUGAUAGUAUCAACAACUAUAAAAAUAGUUCACAUUUGUGCAGUGCACUGGAACUCAUUAUACACAGUUCCUAUGUGCUAUAUUAAGCACGAGAAAUAGGGUCAAAGGGCAGGCAUAGGUUCAGUGGACUGAUUUGAGUCCUGGAGCUCUUUCUGACCAGUUCAGGCAACGGGGUUGUGCAGAAAAGAGUUGACGUAGCGUGUAUAAACUGCUAUCCUUGAAAAGGCCUGCUUGCACGAUUGGCCCUUGGCUAGUGCCUGGGAACUUAGAUUUCAGAAUGAUUCCUAACAUUUACUGGUAAUAGUGGCUCACUGUCCCUAAAUUGUGCCAAUAAUAUGGUUUAUGUAGGACCCGUACUUUCCCUUAAGGAGUCUGGAGUUUUGGUAUGUGCUAGGCAGGGGGUACUAAAAAAAAAAAAAAAAAAAACCUAAACCUGUUGUCAAGGAGCCCUGAUCGUUCAGUAGUUAAAGCACUCAGAUGCUAACCAAAAGGUCAGCGGUUCUAACCACCAGCUGCAGUAGAAAAAUGUGGCAGUCUGCUUCUGUAAAGAUUACAGCCUUGGAAACCCUAUGGGGCAGUUGUACUCUGUUCUACAGGGAUGCUGUGAAUCAGAAUCAACUUGAUAUCAAUGGGUUUGCCUUAAACCCGUUGUCAUGGAGUCAUUUCUGACUCAUGAUGACUCUAUAGGGUUUUCUUGGUUGUAAUCUUUAGGGAAGCGGAUCCCCAGGUCUUUCUUUGUGGCCCUUUUGGGUGGGUUUGAACUGCCAACCUUUAGGUUAGUCGUCAAGCACAAACUGUUCGCACGACUCAGGGACCUUGCCUAUAUGAUUAGAUACCCUGGGCACUUAGUCUGUAACGAGUUGCCCUGGUUGGCAACAUUUCACACAUGUUAUCACAACUCAUUGCUGGGAGAAUUAAAGCGUGUCCUGUGUGACUCAACUGGGAGAAAAGUCUCGGAAGCUUGUGCCUGGUUUCCCCCUAAUUUUACCGCAUGUGUCUUUUUCUUUACAGAUUUUGUUUUGUAUCCUUUUGCUGUAAUAAAUCAUAGCCAUGAGUUUGCCUGUUUGUGGAGUCCUCCUAGCAAAUCAUUGAACCUGGGAGUGGUCUUGGGGAUCUCUUGACACAGGGGUCCUUUCAGAGUUGACUUUAAUGAGAAUAGCUCAGAGGGCAGAGCUUAUCAGCAGCUUGGGCUGUGCAGAAUUGAGCAUUAUACCAGACAAGGAGCAUCUCUUUUCAAGAUUCUGUCAGGCAAAUAGUGGCUGGAAUUUGUGCCGUGAGUCAGAGGGUGAAUCUCUCCGACCGAUUAGACCAAGAUUAUAGAGUUAAUUUAUUUCCUGACUAAUUGGGUUAAGGGGAAUGAAAAUAAAUUUUAAGAGCUUUUUAAAAUAUCAGUCUAUCACAUUUUGGUACUUAUUAGUAUUUUAGUUCAUUUUGCAUAUUUAUUUAUAAUCCCAAAUUUAUCUUCUGAAGUAAAUAACAAGAAUGUGUAAUGUACCAGCACAUCCAUAUAUCAGCCAAUUUUUCCACCUCUAAGGUGGCCAGCUGUUGAGUUUUCACUACCAAAUUCCCGGCUGUUUUUUUCACCUAGUCCCCGCCACGUGAAGGAUUGAUACACAUAUUACUGGGGUCCAAAACGCCCAGUUAAAAUAUAUCUCAAAGGGAUAGUAAAAAUCACAGACUGUUACGGCACCUACCUUCCCUCUCCUCCCCAACCCCAGUAAUGUUGAAUGACUAAGUAAGAAAUCAGCGAAGACGGUAUGUGUGAAAACACCUCACACAGGCCCUGGUGGAUGGGUGUCCAACACACCAUGUUUUCCCUCAUCCUCAGCAAUGCUCAUCGCCCUUCCCCCAGAGUAUUCCUAAGUGCAGAGAGUACUAACAAAUGAACUGGGACAUUUCCAGAUGUUUCCCAGAGUUACACUGAUGUUCCAGGAAGAUGCAUGUUUGUGAUCUUGUGGCUUCGGGCCCCCCGGCAUAUAUACUGUAAUUUAAGAAGCUUAUAGUUUGUGGCAAAUGUCAGGCAAGGCAAAAGGGAGUGAUCAAAUUCAUCCCAAAUCUAUUUUGUUGUAUUUUAUAGUCUUUGAAAUUUGAGCACUUGUAUAUGGUUCGGAAACCCUGGUGGUGUAGUGGUUAAGUGCUACGGCUGCUAACCAAAAAGUCGGCAGUUUAAAUCAGCCAGGCGCUCCUUGGAAACUCUAUGGGGCAAUUCUACUCUGUCCUAUAGGGUCGCUAUGAGUCGGAAUCAACUCGACGGCACUGGGUUUGGUUUUUGGUUUGGUGUAUUGUUCAAAAGGCAGUUUGCUUAAGCAAAGUGUUAAACAGCACACCUAUUCUCCAGCCAUUCUGGACGUCAGGCAGGAAGUAAUCAUUCCUAAAUUCUGCUUUUGCAUUUGUAGCCAUAAUGUGACAAUCUGGUGAGAACAGUGGGUAAGGACUUGGGUUUAGCCAUCACCCAAGAAAUACUUAGGGUUCCACGGAUUUUAGUUAAAUGCAGAGGUUUAAUAGUGUAUUUUUAAUUGAAGGAUAAGAUAAUGGGGCAGCAUUUCUCCACCAGCUUAGAUAAAAAUCCUCUUGCUCAUCUGAACAUUUCUGUAGUAGCCACUAAUUACAGACAGUCACCAAUUACCAUGAAUCCAGAGAUUCUUACAGAUAAUUAAAAUUCUCUGAUGAUCCUGAAAUUUCACUUUUGCUGUUGGUUCCUAUUUUCACUAAGCCAAUUUUAUUAUAUAUAUAUUUAAUUUUUAUUGUGCUUUAAGUGAAAGUUUACAAAUCAAGUCAAUCUCUUAUACAAAAAUUUAUAUACACCUUGCUAUAUACUCCUACCCCGGUGGUGUAGUGGUUGAGUGCUACGGAUGCUAACCAAGAGGUUGGCAGUUUGAAUCUGCCAGGUGCUCCUUGGAAACUCUAUGGGGCAGUUCUACUCUGUCCUGUAGGGUCUCCAUGAGUCGGAAUCGACUCGAUAGCAAUGGGUAUAUACUCCUAGUUGCUCUCUCUCUAAUGAGACAACACACUCCUUCCCUCUACUCUUCGUUUUCGUGUCCAUUCGGCCAGCUUCUGACCCCCUCUGCCCUCUCAUCUCCCCUUCAGACAGGAGAUGCCCACAUAGUCUCAUCUGUCUACUUGAUCCAAGAAGCUCACUCUUUACCAGUAUCAUUUUCUAUCCCAUAGUCCAGUCCAAUCCCUGUCUGAAGAGUUAAGCCAAUCUUAUUUUAAAAACAAAUUUUAACAAGCAUCAUAAAGUCAUCGUUUUGGAGCAAUGGCCGCAUAUUUUAUCCAUGUUGUUGUAUUUAAUUGUCCCAUUGCCCUGCAGUGUGGGCAUUAUCCCGACAUUACAGGUGAAGAGACAGAGGCUCAGACAGGCUAAAUGCAAAGUCACACCUUAAGUCAUAGAGCUGGGAUACAACUUCACUUUUCUGACUUAAGGUGCACACUCUCCCUGUGUGUGUGUUUUUUAAACUACUGUCUACCACUGGUAGGGGUCGUUGUGGUUUAGUGGUAGAAUUUUUGCCUUCUAUGUGGAAGACCCAGGUUCAAUUCUCAGCCAAUGAACUUCACAUGCAGCCACUGCCCAUCUGUCAGUGGAGGCGUAUGUGUUGCUGUGAUGCUAAACAGAUUUCAGCAGAGCUUCCAGACUGAAAUGAACUAGGAGAAAAGGCCUAGUUAUCUUUUGGGAAAAUCAGUCAGUGAAAACCCAAUGGAUCACAAUGGUCUGGUCAUUUUGUGCGUGGAGUCACCAUGAGUUGGGGUGGAUACCACCGCAGCUAACAACAACCCACUGGUAGAAGUAUGGUGAAAUGUUUUGAAAGCAAUCAGGAGGAGGCCAGAAAAAAGCUUGAUAUAAUCUUGAAUCUUCAAUUCCCGAGUAACCAAGAAUUGACAAAUGUUUGAGAGAGUUAACUUCAAUUUCUUCAUUUAAAAAAUUGGGUUGGUAAGUAUCUUUGUUAUCUAGUGCUGCCAUAACAGGAAUACUGCAAGUAGAUGGCUUUAACAAAGAGAAAUUUAUUCUCUCUCAGUCUACUAGGCUGCAGGUCCAAAUUCAGGGUAGCAGCUCCAGGGGAAGGCUUUCUCUGUCAGCUCUGGAAGAAGGUCCUUGUCAUGAAUCUUCCCCUGGUCUAGGAGUAUCUCAGGCACAGGAACCCCAGAUCCAAAGGAUGCGCUUUGUUCCCGAUGCUGCUUUCUUGGUGGUAUGAGGUCCCUCCUAUCUCUCUGAUCGCUUCUCUCUUUUAUAUCUCAAAAGAGAUUGAUUUAAGACACUCUCUGAUCAAUAUAACUGCCACUAAUCCAUCUCAUUAACAUCAAAGUGAUAGAAUUUACAACACAUAGGAAAAUCACAUCAGAUGACAAAAUGGUAGACGGUCACACAGUACUGGGAACCAUGGCCCAGCCAAAUUGAUACACAUAUCUUUGGGGGACACAAUUUAUGACAAUAAGUUUUUCCUAUUUUUUUUCCUUUGGGUAUUGUUAAGUAGCAAAUGAGAUAGUGUAUUAAAAAUUCUUCGGUAAGUACUACCAGUGAUACGUAUGCCAAGGAAGGUUAUUGCUCUUUGAAAGCUCUGCUCCUCUGAAAAGAGUCUGGGCCUAGGACUUUGUCUUUGGCUCUUCAGACUUUGAGGGAGGUCUCCAUGGUAGAUACGAAGGACUUUUUACAAGAGGUGAGAGCCAGGUCUGGCCCAGACAAAUAAUAACUGCCAAACAAAGCAGUGGGUUAAAUGAGGAUUGUCAUGGCUGGGAGCACCCUUGUUUGUUUAAGAUCUCUAGAACUUUCUGGCUGGGAGGCACAUGGGGUUUUGUUAACUCAUUUUGAAGCAAACCAGAUACCCUGAGGUUGCCCUCCAUUUCAGGUUUAAAUCUCUGCUAUCUCUUGGCCCCUUGAGAAACUUGCUCACAAAUAUAAGGAGGGCGGAAGGAAUGAAAAGAUGUUGCCACAUUUUGAAGUGUUCUAAAUAAAUACGAGAUGGUAGUUGGGUAUCCACCCACGUUUUCUUUACAGUUGGAACUCAUUUACGGAUGAGUGGUUACUUAAACAACUUCCCAACCGAAGUAGUAUGGUUAUUUAAUGUGUACCUUUUUAAAAAUGUUUUCACCUCUCUUUUUUUUUUAAUUGACAGCUGUAAGAGGUCUAUCUAAAUGACUUUUCUCUCAUCACUGUUCACUUUCUGAGAACAUCAUUGAAGAGAGACUUCAUAAUGCCUGGCAUGGUAACUGACACAAUGUAGGAAUGGCAUAUGUAUUUGUUGAAUAAAUGAGCUAUAGGAGCAUUGACAGAGACCAGGCUCGGUUUGCAUUACCAUCUGCAAGUCAAAUGACCUCUUCUUUGGUCUUUAUUCACAUGACUUUUAUAAAAUAUGUCCUUUGGGUUAUUUUUAAUUGAAAAAAUUUUGAACUAAUAGUAUAUUUACAUGAAAUUGUAAGGAAUUACGAAGACAGAUCUUGUAUACUCUUCACCCAACUUCCCUCAUUGGUAACGUUUUGCAAAAUUAUAGUACAAUAACAACCAGGAUAUUGACAUUGAUGGAGUCCACCCAUUUUAUUCAUACAGUCUACCAAUCUUAUUCAAGUAUAUUGUUUUUAUUGUGGUAAAAAUGUAUAUAAAAAAACAUUUUCCAAUUUGGCAUUUUUUUACAUGUGCAAUUCAGUGACAUUGGUUUCUUUCAUGACGUUGUGCAAUCGUCAUCAUUAUCCAUUUCCAAAUUUUUCCACUGCCAUUAACAGAAACGCAUGACCCUAAAGGUAAGACUCUCCCUUUCUCCCUUCUGCCUCCUACUUACUGUAACCCUUAAUAAACUUUGAUCUCUAUAUAUUUGCCUAUUUCGUAUAAGUGCAAUCAUAUAGCAUCUGUCCUUCAACUAUGUUUUUUACAGUAGUGGAGUGUGAUUAGGGAAAAUAAAAGCCAGGUUGUGUGCUCUGGUGCAAAGGCGAAACCAGAGUUUUCUGCACUUCUGUUCAGUUCCCAGCUUCAGAGGAAAGGUGAAUUUGGAAUGAUGAGGGGAGUCCCCCAGGAGCCCUAGUAGCACAAUGGUUAAGCACUCAGGUGCUAACUGAAAAGUUGGUGGUUUAAACCCACCCAGUGGCUCCGUGGGAGAAAAACCUGAAAAUAUGCUUCUGUAAAGAUUACAGCCAAGGAAACCCUGUGGGGCCGUCAUACUCUGUUUUACGGAGUUGAUGUGAGUUGAAAAUUGACUCAAAGGUACCCAACAACAAUAGCCAGGGAAUCCUUGUGGGUGAGGAGAGGUUUUCCCAGGGUGGCAUGGGGUGGAGAACAGUAAAAGACUGUUUGGGAAGUUCACAGGGCAAAGAAGCAGCACUGUUCUGUAUUUUCCAGGGAAAGGCCAGCUUACUGUGGUUGACCAUCUCAGUGCCCAUCCCAUCUAUGGUCCCUCAUCCACCCUCAGCCCCCAGCCCAUGUGCUGGGAACACGCGGAGUAGUUUAUGCUUUUUGGAGCCCAAAGUCUGUUCUGCACACAAAUCCUGGCCCACAUCCUCCCCUUCUGAGUGAGAAUUUCCAGAAGGUUGGAGAAGAAUUAGCCUCUGUCUUUGUCAUCCUUUCUUUUCAUGUGGUUGUGUUUCUUAUUGGAUUCAAAUAAUUAGGUGUUGGAGGGAUGGUGGCACCUCUUUUUAUUCAUUAUUUAGCAGCUUCUUCUCCGUCUACAUUACAGAGUCUUCCCUGGGCAGGCCCCGAAUCUCAUCUGUUCUCAGCAGUCCACAUAGCAUCCUGCUCCAUAAUAAUUAAUGCAGAUGGAAUUAAGUGAACUGCUCCAUAGGGAGGGAUUCAGAUGGAAUAAAGACCUGCAGCAUUCCUGGUAAAGAGAAUGAGGAGAGGAGGGCAAUCUGCAGCCUGGGUCAGGGAGCACUGUUGUAUUUCCUGUAUCCUUGAAGUCCACAGUCCUGCUGAGCCUUAAAGGGACUCCUCUCAAUUGGGAAUUUGGCCUUGUUUCUAUUUAGGGAGAGAACAACCACCCAGCCUUUUUGCACGCCUGAAUUAAAUCCAGCAUUCUAGGUUAGAAGAUAGCAGUUCCCCCACCCUUCCCUUUUCUUAUGUAGCCUUAGAAAAUGUCUGGAUUUCAGCCUGUACAAGUAACUCACGGAGUUAACCCUUUCUUCUCAAGCAGGCCUACCCUCUGGGGUGCACAGGCGACAAUACAUUUAGGCACAGCCAACCAAGGCAGCAUUUGCAUAAUAUUCCCUAAUUUGCUUUCCUAAAAUCUGCCAUAGAUUGGGAAGAGAAAAAUACACACCUUUCACAGGAAUUACUAAUCCAUGAGAAAAUAACCACAUAACAACAGCUGACCACGUUGGAACCCUGAAAGACUUUUUUUUCCCCUAGGAAAAGCUAAUAAAAUUCUUCUGUGAAAUGCUUAUAGUACAAUAUUAUUUAAUAAGGUUUAAGAACCUGGUUUUUAAGUUUUUACCUUUUGGAGAAAAUAAUGUCAUAUUUUACUUGGAGAACAAUUUAGUUGGAAUGACCCUUUCAAAAGGAGCCCUGGUGGCUCAGAGGAUAAGUGCUCAGGUGCUAACCAAAAGGUCAGCAGUUUGAACCCACCAGCUGCUCUGUGGGAGAAAGAUGUGGUAGUCUGCUUCCAUAAAGAUUACAUCCUUAGAAACCCUAUGGGACAAUUCUACUGUGUCUUAUAGGGUCGCUAUGAGUCAGAAUUGUAUCGAUGGCAAUGGGUUUAGUCUUAUUUUUGGUUUUUGAGCGUUUCGGGGGAUUUGAAAACACGUGUUAAAUUAUUCUUUAAGCCAUUUUAUGUAAUCAUUUCUCUCAGAACCUUGUUAUUCCUGGCAGAUUUUCUUUCCUUUUUUUUGUUUACUAGGUUAUUAUUUUAAAUGAAGUGAAUGAAUACCAGAAAAAAGGACAGUGAGUUUCUGGUUGACUGCUUUGGAUUUUCCUUUGGAUCCAAAGGCGUAUCUAAAUGAUUCCAAAUGUCCACAUAUUAGUAAGCAACCAGAAAAUUAGAUUUUCAGAUUGCCUCAAAUGUCAUUAUUGCGUACAUAAAACACAGCUAGCCUUGAGGUCUACAUUUGCCUUUAGGAUUUUGUAAUGAUUUUCUGUCAGGCUUUGGGAAACUUCGAUUUUCUAUGUGAUACACAUACAGCUGCUUGUUUUAAGUUAGGGAAAGUGGGCUUCUUUUUCUUCAUAUGACAUAAGAAGACAGGAAGAAGAAUGUGAAAAAUCAGCUCCAAUCCCACCGCUCAGAAAUAACUGUUGUUAAAUUUUUGAUGUAUUUUUCUGUGCAUAAAUAGUAAACACAGUUACUUUCAUGUUGUGUAUUAUAUCUUCCAUUUUCCUCUAAAUGUCACAUCUUGGACAUUUUCCCAUAUUGUAAGUCUUUCCCCCAAAUAUUAUAUGUGCCUGUCCACCCCAGGUUUUUCUUUCUUUUUAUUGUGGUAUAUAUGCAUAACAUUUGCCACUUCAACCAUUUUCACACCUUGGCGACAUUAAUUACGUUCACCAUGUUUAACUGUUGCCACUGUCAGUUUCCGCAUUUUCCUAUCACCCAUAACAUCAAUUCGGUGCCUCUUUAAGCAAUAUCUUCCCUUUCUCUCCUCCCACCUGCCCCUCGUAAUCACUAAUAAACUUUGGUCUCUAUGCAUUUGCCUAGUAUAGAUAUUUCAUAUAAGUAGGAUCAUACAAUAUGUGCCCUUUUGUGUCUGACUUAUUUCACUCAACAUAAUGUUUUCAAGCUUCAUCCAUCUCAUAGCACAUAUCAGGACUUUAUUUCUCUUUAUGGCUGAACAAUACUCAGUACAUAUAUGUAGUUGCCCUUUGGUAUUUGAGGGCGAUUGAUUCCAGGACCUCCACGGGUACCAAAAUGCAAGGAUGCUCAAGUUCCUUAUAUAAAAUGGCAUAGUAUUGGCAUAUAACUUAUGCACAUCGUCUUUAAAUCCUCGCUGGAUUACUUUUAAUACCUAAUACAAUGUAAAUGAUGUGUAAAUAGUUGUUAAUGCUUACACUUAAUGCUUUCUCAGUCUUUGCAAGCACUUUAUCACGAACCGGAAAGACCAUUUUUGCCAUUGUAGGGGCAGCACUAACACGUCCAUGAAUUUCAGCCUCUUUCUGAUUUAUUGUGUGAAUGCUCCAUUUGUUUUUACUGACCUUACAGCCCACUUCGGCAAGCAACAUGCCACUUUUUAAAAGAUCUAAGAUUUUUAUUUUCUUGUUGAGAGAUAACACUUUAGGCUCCCUCUUAGUCUUUGAAGGAUUGCUUGACUACUUCGUUGCUUUUUAGGAGCUAUUCUUUCAUAGAAACAAAGGGUGUACACAGCACAAGUAGCGAAUGAACUGAGGUGAACAAUGCUCAGACAAUGAAUGCUGGAGACACAGGAUAUGUGAAACGGCGGGAGGCUACAGCAGGGUGUGCCUACACAUCACUUAAUUCGAGUGGUUUCAGCUUAGUGCUUGGCGCUCUGCAAAUUCAAGUUUUGCAUACUGGAACUUUCUUUUUUCUUUCUGAAUAUUUUUGAUCUGAGGUCGGUUGAAUCCACAGAUGUGAAACCUGAAGAUACUGAGGGCCGACUGUACUACAUUUUAUCUGUUCAUCUAUUAAUGAACAUUUGGGUUGUUUCUUGGCUAUUGCAAAUAGUGCUGCAAUAAACAUUGUUGUAUAAGGAUGUUCGCCUCCCUGCUUUCAACUUUUUUGGGUAUAUACCUAGGAUUGAUGUUGCUGGAUCAUAUGGUAGUUUUAUGUUUAACUUUUUGAGAAACCACCAGACUGUUUUCCACAGCAGCUGCACCAUUUUACAUUCCCACCAGCAAUAGAUGAGGGUUCCAGUUUCUCUACAUAUAUGUCAACACUUGUUGUUUUCUGUUUUUCUGAUAAUAGUCAGCCUAGUGGGGGUGAGAUAUAUGUAUCUCUUUUGAAUCCCAAGAAACCACCCAGUCCUAGCUUGAGGUCCAAUAUACUGCUCCCUCUAUGCUAAACAGUGCCUUAGUGUGUGGGUGGGAGGCUUAUGCCAGAAAACACCUGGUUCAUUCCUUUAAUUUUGUCUGAGUAUCAUUUAAUGUCUUCUCAUCUUCCCCCUUUGCUCAUUUUACUUCCCCAUGUAUAUUUUUCCCACGUUAUUUUUUAACACAUUUUUAGUUCUAAUUUCUUGUUUGCCGGAAUUGAUCAGAAGCUUGAGGCUGAGUGACCAUUCAUUGAUUACUGAUUUCUCCCUGCCCAUGUGUUCACUGCAGGCUGUAGGAAGCAGGCUUGUUUCUCUUUGAAAGUGAUAGUUAGCCUCUGGCCUGGAUCAAUGUGUCCCCAUUACAAAAGUGAGCAGUUUCUUUUAUGAUUCUCUUUCAUGUUAACUUUUGGGCAUGAGACCCACAAGCUCUCUAUGUUGACAUCUAAUUGAACAUGGCAUCUAAUGCAAGAUGGCAGACCUAUUUUUUAGUGCCCAGUGUGGAAUGGGCUUUACAUAGCAGGUGAUGAUGUUAAACGUGUCCUGAGUCCUUUGGCUAGAGCUCAGCAGCCAAAAGGCCUGAGGAGUAUCCUGUCAACCGCUGGAGGCCCUUCAGCUCAUAAGUUCCUGAGAAUCAAGAAAGAUAGGAUUUAGAAUACCCUACUCUGGUUCUCUGCUUGCCUCCCCACUUGCUGAAUGAAUCUCAGCUUGCUUUCAUUACUGCUAGCACAGUAAAAAGGAGGUCAUGUUGAAAAAGCUAGGUCUCUGAGCUUGACUGUGAUUCCAUGUUUAAUCUGAGACAUGUCUGCCCUUUUGUCCUUCUCCUUUGCCCAGUACACAGCCAUUUUCGGCGUAUAACUCAUUUUAUUAAGGAGUGAGGGCAUUUUGAGAUACAACAUGCCAUCCGUACAAUUUCCCAUUAUUUGUCUCUGUUUAUUCAUGUCUAAAGAUACUAUGUGCUUCCAGUGUUCUGAUGGUUUCAGGCCCCAGCAAGACCCAUGAACUCUUUAGGUGGUGUGUGCACAAUAUCACUAAUGGCUUCACCUCGUGUGUCCUUGCUGAUUCUUUCCUUCCUGUGAUUAAAACCCUUGGCCAACUUCCUCUCACUUGCACGUACCCUGUCUUCCUAUAUAAAGCCUGUCUCAUCUCUCAGAUCGCGUCUCAUUCUUCCCUCUUCUUUUAUUCCUGAUCUCUAUCUCCAUAUUUUUAUGUUUGUCAUUCAUUCAUUCAUGCAGCUUUAACUGAACAUCUUCUAUGUGCCAGGCUGUAUGCUUGAGGCUGAGUGUACAGGGUUGAUCAGACACUGUCCCUGCCUUCAAGGUUCCCACUAUUCCUUACCUAGGAGCUAAGUAAGCAGGCAGGUGUCCAAGGUGGGGCUUGUUCUAAUGAUGCUGUGGACAAGGGGCAAUGGAAGCACUGGAGGUUGAGCAUAAGUCUGUCCAGGGGGUUGGGAAAGACAUCAAUGGUGAACUGCCCACCCUUAAAGGAGAAGUAAGAAUUUGCUAGGGGCAGGAACAAGAGGGCACACCAGGCAGAAGAAACAGCAAAUGCAGAAGCUGGAGGUAUAAACAGUGAGUCGUAUUUGUGAAGAAUAAAUUUGUUUGUUAAAGCCAUCCAUUUGGGUUAUUUCUGUUAUAGCAACACUAGAUAACUAACAGUAGGCUAGCAACGCUGCUCUUCAGAAAUCAAGGGGCAGAAGUCGCACUUGGAAAAAGUAGGCUGUGGCCACCUCAUGAAGACCCUUGUAUAUCAGAAUAGUAACAAUAGCUAACACUUAACAUGGUGCUUAUGUGUAAGACACUGAUCUGAACACUUUAUAGAUGUUAACUCAUUUAAUCCUUGUAACAACCUAAGAGGUAGGUACCGUUGUUGUCUCCAUUUUACAGAUGAAAAAACUGCGGCCUAAGAGGCUAGGAGACAAGGUCACACAGACAGCAGGGAGUAGAACCAGGGUUUGUAUCUUGCCCAGUCUGCUCCCCUAACUGCCCAGCUUUCUGCCUCUCACACUUUAUCAUGCAGGCCUUGAGGAACCAUAGAAAGAUGUUAAGUAAUGGGGAGUAGGACCCACAUUUUGUAAAGAUAGUUCUUUAUUUUUAGAGACAGUUGGAGACUUGAUGCAGGGAGACUGCUUAGAAGUCCCUGUAGUUUUUUGAAGGGAACCUGAUAGAAUAUUCCUUUAGAAACUUUUUCUCAGAAUUAUGUAUGCUGACAAAGCAUUCUCUUGUUGUUAGGUACCGUUGAGUUGAUUUGAUUUCUUGCUCAUAGUGAUCCCACGUGACAGAGUAGAACUGUCCAUAGGAUUUUCUAGGCUGUAAUCUUUAUGGGAGUAGAUCACCCGGUCUUUCUCCGGCAGAGGUGCUAGGUGGGUUUGAACUGCUGACCUUUAAGUUAGCAGCUGAGUGCUUAACUGUUGUGCCACCAGGCUCCUUAAAAGGCCAUCUAGAAUCUAUUUCUAAACCAACAUUAGUUUAUAACAAGGCCUGGUGGUGUAGUAGUUACGGCUGCUAACCUAAAGGUCAGCAGUUCAAAUCCGCCAGGCGCUCCUUGGAAACUCUAUGGGGCAGUUCUACUCUGUCCUAUAGGGUCGCUAUGAGUCGGAAUCGACUCGACAGCAAAUGGAGAGGGUGCUAAGAGAUUACAGAGUGUGAAUCUAUUUUGGGCCUCUCCAAAAUAGGAAAGGUUGCUCCCUGCGACCUACAGAUAUCUACAGGGUAGGGAUAAUUACAACAUGGCUAUGUGAUGGAACUGGAAAAUGAAAUAAAGAUACUGGAAAAUGAAAUAAAGAUACUGUAUAAUUAUUGUAAAUUUAGAUUCUUACUCAAAGAAGAAGGUUAUAUUUCUUUACAAAAAUUCCUCUUAUUGUGUCAGGAUUUCUUAAUUUUGGGAAUCUGUACCGAAGGAUAAUAUUUUCUUGGUUUCUUUCAAAGCUGGCAACUAAGGGAACUAGAAUAAUGUGUUAUUGAAUGUUGUAUUUCCACCUAUUUUUUUUUUUUUACACUAUUUGAGCUUCAAUUUGUGUUUAGUUACUACAAGUUUUCUCUUACUAAUACCUACAUUGCCUGGCCCUGUAAACCCUUUAUUAACAGGUUUGCGAGUCUUCAUUCCUGAGCAAACCUAGUUCUCCGUUUUCUCUGCUCCAAGUUCUGUUAUUAUGGAAUUGCUGUAAGGAAUACAGUACAUGAAAGGUAGUGAGUACACUUUCAGAUAUAUGGAGCUUGAGAUGCUGGUGGCACAUCCAGGGGCCAUGUAAGCAGGCACUCUACUAUGUCUACUCUCUACUUGGCCACAUAAGUAGGUGGUGGGAUGGGAGGGUCUAGUAUUUAGGAUUGACCUGAGGCUGGAGGCAGAUAUGGGUGUCAUCACCUAUGCCAGGAAGGAUAGGAUUGCCACAGAGAACAGAAGGCACAAGAAGAAGAGACCAAAGACAGAAGACCAGCCUAUCCUUUGUCUACUCUUGUCUAUGUUGAGAUGACAGAGUAAGCAAUAGAACCAAGAUUAAAAGAGAGCAUCUUACCCAGAGCUUAGUCCCAUUUCACUAUCUUUAUGUGCACAACAACAGUCACUAGAGCAGCAAGAAUGGGAUUUUAGUAGACAGGCUGAAAUAGAUAAGACCAGGUGUAGUAGCCACAUGGACCAAGAAUGGGAAAUCCAAAGGAUACUGAGAGGGCAUGGUUGGAAUGAUAAGAUGGGAACUAGGACAGAUUGGGGUUUUAGAAGUCAAGAGGAAGAAAGUUCAGGGAGUUGCAAGUGGUCAGUUAUUAGAUGCCAGAGGGUUCAAAGAUGAUUGAUAAGUGUCCACUGCAUUUGGCUUUUAGGAGGCCAUCACGACCUUUGCCAGAGUCCUUCUAGGUAAUGGUGGUGUGAAAUCCAAGAUGGGAUCCUUCUACCUUGCUCUCCUCUUAACUCUUGAAUCCUAGCCAUUCUGUCAGCCUGGACACUAUGCUUCUUUAUACCACCCUUUCUUACCCUUCAUCACUUCAGAACAUAACCUGAAGACUUCUCCUACACAUUUUAAAUGCCAGUAUUGGAGCCCAGACACCUCUAAUCCUCUGUCAGGAGGCCUCUUCUCAAAAUUCACAAGUAUCCUAAUUUUAAUAGAAAAAUUGGGUUUGUUUUUAAUUUCUGAAAUUCCAAACAUCCAAAAUGCUUGAGGAGUCAGAGUUUCCAGAAUUCUCUGUGGCUCUUGAAAUCUGAAUCUCAGGAAACAAGGAUUAGUGAACCUGGAGUCCUGGGGGAACUGUGGUCUCCAAGUCCCACAAUGUACAGUUCCUCUUAGGUUUUCUACCCGAACUCUCUUUUAAACCACUUCCCUGAUAAUCAGAGCUGUGAUGUUACUCCAGCUGUUUGUGAGUUAUUGCUGUUUUGUAAAUCCUACUGACAUUGAUUAAUAAUAAUAAUAACAGCUACCAUGUGUUGAAUGUCUACCAUCUUUGGGGCAUGAGACCAAGUGCUUGACGUACAUCAUCUCCUUUCACUCUUCCAAUCGCCUUAGGAAGUGAGUGGUAGUAACCUUUUCUGAUGAAUAGAAAAGUUUCUCAAAGCUAGUGGUUCUCAAACUUGAGCAUAUGUCAGAAUCACCUGGAUAGCUCGUUCUGACACUGAUUGCUGGGCUCCACCCCCAGACUUUCUGAGUCAGUAGGUCUGGGGUAGAGUCCAAGGAAUAGUAUUUCUAACAAGUCCCCGGGGGGAUGAGGAUGCUGCUGGCGUCCAGGACCACACAUUUGAGAACACUGCUCUUGUCACACAGCCAAGUGGCAGAAUAGGAUUCACCCCUGGGCCUGUCUGACUCCACAGGCGUGCUCUUCCCUUGUAGGAAGUGUGACUACUUAGGAACCUGCAAUAGAGAGAAGUCUGCUCACACCCAGGAUAGACUAAGGGCUUCCUAGGAGAUUCAGGUUAGCAGCAGGUGAGAUCGUGGCAUGGGUGGGUGUAUCAAGGCAAAGGGUGUGCUUAGGUGCAGGAAAUAAGGGAGAGCAUAUAAAAAGUUAUACAGAACUUAAAACAGUAAUAAAAUUGACUAAAAGUCAAUGUGGUUUUUAUUGUCUGUAUGUGUUGACAAUUCUGAAUAAUAUCAGUGAUAAACACUUUUCUCUCUGUUCCCCUGUCUACCAUUGCUUGGCGGCUAAAGAGAAAAAAGCCUAAACAGCCCUUUGUUGUUGGCGUUGUGGUUAACUCCAAAUUCAGGGACCUCACCUUCUCCUUCUGUUUUCCACACAUAUCUGGGCACUGGGUGUUUAAUCCACACCUAAUUGGUAAAUAUUUCCUCCUCCUUCUAGAUUUUGAUGCUAAAGUACACUAAUUUAAAAUAUUUAAGGGGACAAGCCAAAGACUAUAGAGAUACACAUCUGUUAGGUAAGUUUAACAGCAGUCCCUUCUCUGUACCAGACAGCAGGCCAACCACCUGACCCAUGUGGACUCAUUUAAUGCUCACAGUAACCUCCUGAGGUGGGUUCUGUUAUAUCAUUUUACACCUGAGGAAGGGAGAUGCAGAGAGCUUAAGUAACUUGCCCAAGGUCACAGUAAAUGGGCAAAGCCAGGAUUCACACCUGGCAGCCUUGCUCCAGAGCCCAAGCACUUAACCACUGUAUUAUACUGGCCCUCUGGCAUAUAAAAGCAACAACAACAAAACUAGUUGCCAUAAAGUUGAUUCCAACUCAUGGUGGUUCCAACUCAUUAAAAAACAAACAAACCAACCUAUUGCCAUGGAGCCAAUUCGACUCAUAGUGACCCUAUAGGACAGAGUAGAACUGCUCCCACAGGGUUUCCAAGGCUGUAGUCUUUUUUUUUUUAGUCUUUAGAGAAGCUGACUACCACAUCUUUCUCCCACGGAGCGGCUGGUGGAUUUGAACCACUGACCUUUCAGUUAGCAGUUGAGCACUUAACCACUGCACCACCAGGGCGCCUCCAACUCAUAACCCGACCCUGUUACUGUCAAGUCGAAUUCCAAAUCCUAGUGACCGUGUAGGACAGAGUAGAACUGCCCCGUAGACUUUCGAAGGAGUGGCUGGUAGAUUCAUACUGCUGACCUUUUGGUUAGCAGCUGAGCUCUUAACCAUUGCGCCACCAGGGCUCCAGCUUGUAGUGAGUGCUUAAUAAGUGCACAUUGGAUAGAUAGCUGCUGUUGCAUCGACUUCAGCUUAUGGUGACUUGGUAUGUACAACAGAAUGAAAUGUUGUGCAGUCCUAUGUCAUCCUUACAAUUGCUGGCAUAUUCAAGACUGUUGUGGCUAUGGUGCCAAUCCAUUUCACCCUUGCUGGCCCUCUGCUUCACCAAACAUGAUAUCGUCCAGCGAUUGAUCCCUUCCUGAUGACUUGUCCAAAGCAAGUGAGUUGGACAAUGUUUUGUUGUGACCGAUAAGGUUUUCACUGGCUGACUUUCAGAGGUAGACUGCUAAGCCUUUCUUCCUAGUCUUAGUUUGGAAGCUCUGCUGAAACCUAUCUACCGUGGGUGAGCCUGCUUGUAUUUAAAAUACAGGUGGCAUAGCUUCCAGCAUUACAUCAGCAUGCAAACCACCAUAGUAUGACAAAAUGACAGACGAGUGAUGGUUACAAUGGAUGGUCAAAUGAAAACAGGCUUACAUGGUGCAAGCAGGCCAGGGAGCCUCAGUCACCAAUCCGAGCAGGGCAUUCUGUGGGUCACUGGCAAUACUCAAGUGGUUACUCCCAGUCCACUUAAACCCAGUCCACUUAGGGUGGUAGAAAAUCCCUCUUGGCUACAUCACGUCCACUGUAAUGAAAUGCGCUUUCCCUUGAGGGAGUGGUUAUUGGUAUUUAUAGAGCCUCUUAUAGCCGAAGGCCUCCAGAAGCAACAAUUACCUCUCUAAUCCUUUUAGCAUCUCCCUGAAAGAGGGAAGUGAAACAUACAGCUUGUUUCUGCUUCCUGUCUUUUCUUCUCCCCACUCCUGCCCCACUACGGUUUACCUGUAGCACAUAGUAUCAAGGUGGGAAGAAAAGAGGGGGGAUUUAGAGGGAAUUUUUAGUCAUUUAUUAAGGAGGCCUGGUGGUGCAAUGGUUAAGCACUUCUACCCAAAGGGUUGGUGGUUCGAACCUAUCCAGUGGCUCGGUGGGAGAAAGACCUGGUGAUCUGCUCCCAUUAGGAUCAUAGCCUAGAAAACUCUGUGGGGCAGUUCAGCUCUGUCACAUAGGGUCGCUAGGAGUUGAAAAUCAACUCAGUGGCACCGAAAAACAAGUCAUUUAUUGCAAGUCAUGUUCUGAGCAGAGUGGAAGUGCCGGGCUGCUUGUGAGGGCCUUGAGGUCAGCGCGCCUGCUAUUCCACUUUUUUUUAAUAUCUGGGAGCUAAAUGGAGAAAUAACCUUCUUCCUCCUAAAGAAAUCUCACCAGGCACUUUUCACUAUUCUCCUUAUGAGCGAGGAAAGAAAGUUUGAAUAAUAGAAUUCUCUUUUUUUCUCAAGCAGUGAAUUCUUCUGUCUUGGCAGCUACAGUGUUCAAGAUAAGUUAUGCAGGGGAACAGCACAGAAAAUGGAAAGAGAUGAGGUCUGGAAAACUUUUAUUCAUUGCUAGUGGGUUUUUCCAUAUGUGUGUAUAUAUUACACACAUUUGCAUCUAUGCCUGCUUCAACAGCAGCCUAUUGGGCACGUCGCCAAUAGCCCUGAUUGUGACUGGCUUUUGUUAUGCAUGUGUAAUUGAAUUCAGUGAUAGUACCUGAGGAUAUACUUACUGCAAAGAGAUAAGGUUAAUUUUGGUCAUCCGGAGGAACAGACCAAGGGAUGCCGUGAUAGUGCUGGCGAGUUCCUUGUUUAUACCAGUGUUUUCUGUUACUAAGGGUAGAAUAAAGCCUAGAUAAAUAAGAUCUGCUAUUGCCGGCCUUCAGGAAAUUUGCAGAUGUUAGGAGCUCCUAUUUCAGGAUUGUUAAUAAUCCUUUCCUGCCCAGUGCUAGCUAAGUGUACAAGAGACAUAAUGCAGUUAGAGAAAUACUCUUAGCUUCCUGGGUUUUGUUUUUUCUUCAUUAUAAUAUCUGGCUGGAUUAGCUUCCUCCUUUAAAGGUUGGUGGUUCAAGUCCACCCAGAGGCGUCUUAGAAGAAAGGCCUGGCAAUCUACCUUUGAAAAAUCAACCACUGAAAACCCUGUGGGGUACAGUUCUACUCUGACACAGAUGGAGUUGCCCUGAGUUGGAGUCGACUCAAUGGCAAAUAGUUUUCUUUUCUUUCUGCCAUUAACCAUUCUCUGCUGGGCCACAUCCCUGUGUAUGUGAAGCUGGGUGAGGCCCCCCCAUUUCCAGUUUCUGGGAGACUUCAGUCUGUCUUUGUCGAAGGACCAUCAUUCAGCAUUCAGUCUCAUGCUUUCUUUCUUUUUAAUGAGCUGAUGUCAUACCUGGUGAACAGGUGUUCAAGGCUGAUGUUCCCAGCCAAGGUCUGGCCGCCUGAAAAAGGCAGAUCCGAGUUGGCAUUCUGGGUGCUUCAUCUAUGCGCCUGUCACCCAUGAGCUUUGAAACAGGAAAGACAUGAAUAUUGUACCAGCUGGGUUCUGAGCUCUGGCUUCACCCCAAGGCGUCAACCUCUCUCUUCUUCCGGCCCCAGCACUGCAGUUCCUGCUCCUCCCCCUCCUCUCCUUCAGUACUUUCUCUGUGGCCAACAAUAUCCAGUCACUUUCCCCUUUCCUCGUUUCACCUCCAGAUACAGAAAAUGUAUUAAGUAUGUGUUAGGAGAAAGGAAGGGCCAAUUAAAGAAGAUUCUGGAAGAAAACAGGAAGAAGGAAGCAUGAGUUAAGGACUUUAAAAAUCGGUCACACAAUGAUUCUACCUCCUUCCCUACAGGAAAGCAAAGAUAGGAGACUGAGAGCUGUCAUUAUCCUCCACUUAACGACAGGAGAGCGCCAGAGUUCUUGUAAGUGCCAGGAAAGUCAGGGAGCUGCUGGCAGCUGAGCUCACUGGUUCUUCCGAGACAGCCAGUAGACGCUCAGUGCCAGCGGGGACACGGCCGAGGAUGCCAGUUGGGGAAAUUAGCUCGGGGUCGGAUGAGCUCAUACAAGGGGACCACUGUGCUGUGGAAAUAGUGACUCCCCUGGCCUCAGAUCAGAUGAGGAAAAGAUUUUCCAGGAGGUGGCUCAUGGAGUGAAGCCUGGUUUGUGGCUUUCUUCAGAUGUUCUCCAGGUUUCUAACAUGUGUCAUGCGGCUCCAAUAAAGAGGCCGUUCUACAGCUGCAUCAGUGGUAACAGUGAUGGCCGGGGCUGGAUGCUGCCCAUGGAGCUAGGUGUGAGAAGGGGGAAUCGGGCUAAGUCCUUUGUGUGCCCAGCGGAAAUCUGUUUCCUUAUUGACUUCUUCCUUUCUUCUCGUAUCCUAGCCUUUUCUAUCACCAAUUACCAUCUAGGUGGAAAGCUUUGCUUUUCAGAUUUGUGUGCAGAGCACAGGCAAGCGAAGAGAAACCUUGCUGAAAGAAAUGUCGUUAUAGCAUUUUGCAUGUUUUCAUUGCUACCAACACAGGCAUUUCUAAGGAAGAAUGCAAACACGCCCGAAAUAGAAUGCAUUAGUAAGUGUAACUGAGGAGGGAAGUAUAUUUUUAGCAAAUAUGGCUAAAGCAGAUUACUGCUGUGAGGAGUUUUUUGGCUUUAACAAAAAGAAGUUUAUUUUGUCAAAGUUUAGGAGGCUUUGUUAGGUGCCAUUGAGUUGAUUCUGACUCGUAGUGACCCUAUGUACAACAGAACGCUGCCUAGUCCUGCAACAUCCUCACAAUCGUUGCUAUGUUUGAGCCCAUUGUUGCAGCCACUGUGUCAAUCCAUCUUGUUGAAGGUCUUUUUUUGUUGACCUACCACCUUACCAAGCAAUAUGUCCUUCUCCAGGGACCGGUCCCUCCUGAUAACAUGUCCAAAGUACGUGAGAUGAAGUCUCUCUGACCUUGCUUCUAAGGAGCAUUAUGGCGGUAUUUCUCCCAAGACAGAUUGGCUCUUUCUUCUGGCAGUCCACAGUAUAUUCAGUAUUCUUCACCAACACCAUAAUUCAAAGGUGUCAGUUGUUCUUUGAUCUUCCUUAUUCACCGUGCAGCUUUCGCAUGCAUGUAAGGCAAUUGAAAACACCAUGGCUUGGGUCAGGCAUGCCUUAGUCCCCAAAGCGAUAUCUUUUUAAUACUUUAAAGAGGUUUUUUGCAGUAGAUUUGCCCGAUACAAUACAUUGUUUGAUUUCUUGACUGCCGCUUCCACGGGCGUUAACUAUGGAUCCAAGUAAAAUUAAAUCCUUGACAGUUUCAGUCUUUUCUCUGUUUAUCAUGAUGUUGCUUAUUGGUCCCACUGUGAGGAUUUUUGUUUUCUUCACAUUGAAGUACAAUCCAUAUUGAAGGCUGUAGUCUUUGAUCUUCAUCAGCAAGUGCUUCAAGUCCUCUUCACUUUCAGCAAGCAAGGUUGUGUCACCUGCUUAUUGCAGGUUGUUAAUAAAUCUUCCUCCAAUGCUGAUGCCCUGUUCUUCUUCAUAUAGUCUAGCUUCUCUAAUUAUUUGCUCAGCAUGCAGUUUGAAUAGGUAUGGUGAAAGGAUACAACCUUGAUGCUCACCUUUGCUGAUUUUAAACCAUGCAUUAUCCCCUUGUUCUGUUGAAACUGACUCUUGGUCUAUGUAUAGGUUCCUCAUAAGCACAAUUAAGUGUUCUGGAAUUCCCAUCCUUCGCAAUGUUAUCCAUAAUUUGUUAUGAUCCACACAAUUGAAUGCCUUUGCAUAGUCAAUAAAACACAGGUAAACUCUGCUCUUCUCUGCUUUCAUCCAAAAUCCCUCUGACAUCAGCAAUGAUAUCCCUCAUUCCACGUCCUCUUCUGAAUCCAGCUUGAGUUUCUGACACUUUCCUGUCAAUGUACCGCUGUGAAUGUUUUUGAAUGAUCUUCAGCAGAAUUUUACUUGCGUGUGUUAUUAAUGAUAUUGUUUGGUAAUUUCCACAUGCUGUUGGAUCAACUUUCUUUGGAACGGGCACAUAUAUGGAAUUCUUCCAGUCAGUUGGCCAGGUUGCUAUCUUCCAGAUUUCUUGGUGUACAGGAGCAAGUCCUUCCAGCGCUGCAUCUGUUCGUUGAAACAUCUCAUUUGGUAUGCUGUCAAUUCCUGGAGUCUUGUUUUUCACCAUUACAUUCAGUGUGGCUUGAACUUCUUCCUUCAGCACCAUCAGUUGUUGAUCAUAUGCUACCUUCUGAAAUGGUUGAAUGUCAUCAAUUCUUUUUGGUACAGUGACUCUGUGUAUUCUUUCUAUCUUCGUUUUUGAUGCUUCCUGUGUCGUUCAAUAUUUUGCACAUAGAAUCUUUCAAUAUUGCGACUUGAGGUUUGAAAUUUUUCUUCAGUUCUCUCACCUCGAGAAAUGCGGAACGUACUCUUUCCUUUUGGUUUUCCAAUUCUAGGUCUUCGUACAUUUCAUUGUAAUACUUUAUUUUCUUGAGCUGCAACUUUGAAAUCUUUUGUUCAGCUGUUUUACUUCAUCGUUAGGAGGCUAGAAGUUUGAAUUUAGGGUGCUGGCUCUAGGGGAAGUCUUUCUCUGUUGGCUCUGGAGGAAAAUCCUUGUCUCUUCUGAGCAUCUGCUCCUGGACAGUCUUCUUGUGGCUUGGCAUCUCUCUUCCCCCAUCUCUGUUUCUUAGCUUGCUUGUUUAAUCUUUUUUUAUAUCUCAAAAGAGAUUGACUACACCCUACACUAAUUCUGCCCCAUUAACAUAACAAAGACAAGCAAUUCCCAAAUGGGAUUAUAACCACGGGUAUAAAAAAAAAAAAAAAAUCAUUGCCAUGGAGUUGAUUACAACUCCCAGCGACCCUAUAGGACAGAGUAGAACUGCCCCGUGGGGUUUCCAAGCCUGUAAAUCUUUAUGGAAGCAGGCUGGCACAUUAUUCUCCCAUGAAAGUGGCUGGUGGGUUCGAACCACUGACCUUUCAGUUAGCAGCAGAGUGCUUCAGCCACUACACCACAAGGGCUCAUAGAGCUUAAGAAUUAUAACACGUAUUUUUGGGGGACACAAUUCAAUCCACAACAGUGAGUGAGACUAAAAUGAGGGAAGGGCAAAGCUUGGACGGGGUGGUGUUGAGGAAUGUGGCUGCUUGGAUGGGGUGGUGUUGAGGAACGUGGCUACCUCCCAGCUGUCCUCUGGAGCUGAUGAUGGGGCUGCGGGGUCAUGUCAUAACUCCUGGAAUAGUCAGGGCUUCUGGAGGAUGCUGAACUGGCUUUAAAGACCCUGUUCUCCAGCUCCUGCCUGUUGUAGGCAUAGGUAGCACAGCUGUGGUGAACCCUGUGGCUGGAGCCCAGAAAGGCAAAUGGUGCCCCCACCCCCUAACAUGGCUGCUGUCAUUCACCUCUCUAGAUUGAGGACAAGAAGGCCUGGUUAAACGAAGCUGGUUACCUUAAAGGAAGUCAAGGCACUGGUUAGUGGAGCUGUGAGUCCAGCAGGAACCCUGGAGGGAAGGCAGGAACUUGGGUUUCAGCUCUGUGCCUGCCAGAUUGUGGCACCUGUGCCAAAUCAACUCACAACUCUCUUUAAUUCAGUUUCUUUAUCUGUGGACAGGGAGUGUUAAUAUUUCCUCAGGGAACCUUGAGUCCAGACAAGGUCACCGAUAAGGGAAGCCUUGAAAAUUUGAAAGAAAAUUGAUAAAGAUGCCAAGAUGUAAUCUUAUUUUUCCCCUGAAGAUUAACUAAGGUUUAACACUGAUAGCGAUAUGAGUAUGUCUCAGCCACUUGUAAAGACAUUAUUCACAGUAGAACGAAGUUCAACCCAAGGUGAACCAUUCUGGUAUCCAUCUGGGGCUCUGGCUACCAGAUUACCGGAUUAUAAAGCAGUUUCUCCACCGAGGAGUCCCAUGUUUGGGACGCCAACACGCUUGUUCUGACGUCUCUGGCCGGGCCAAGUGCCUUCUGGGAUCCGCAGCCUCGCGUACAUCCCUGACACCCCUUCCCGUAGGCUUUCUUGCAGAAAACGGCCAUCGCCAUUCACCCAGGCCUCCAAAUCAGAGACCUUGAAGUCUGCCAAGUAAAAUCUUACAUUGCGACCCAGCCAUAAUGCCACCUUCUUUCUUACAGGGUUCUAAAAGAAGGCACGAACGAGCAGAGUAGUAAAGUUCGGAGUCUCUCACAGUGUACUCUGUGCCGUAGGCGGUGGGCCAGAGAAUUACAGAUGUGAGGGCCUUACUUUUAGGAAAUUCAAUGCAUGGCAAUUUAAACCUAUACAAAAGUGAAAGCCAUGAGCUAAUUUUUAAUCAUUUUAAAAUAUGAUUUCACAAGUUUCCUUUAAUUACCAAGUUCUUAAUUUUAAUUGGAAAAUUUUUGAUUUAUACUAACCUUUUCGGGAAUAUGUGGAUUACUUCAAAUAUACUACCCCUCUACUGUUUUUUUGUUUUUUUUACUGUCAGCCUCGAAUGGCAUACAAGUGAGUGGCCUUAUUGAUCAAUUCAUGAGGUUUAUAAUCUGACUUGUUUCCUACACUGUUCUCCAACAAAUGGCAUGGAGCUGCCCUGUGGCAGAGAGAGCUUUGGUUGAUUUGUACUUUUUUGUUUGUUUUUUCGGGUUUGAUUUUAUUGAGUUGACUCUAAAGUUGUCUUUGAGUUCUUUUCUAGUCCUUCAGUGCCUGUAGCGAGCCGCGGCUCAUCAUUGCAAUGACAUAUAUCCCAGACAAAAGGCUCCAAGUAACUGGCGUAAUUUCUGAUGGAUCCUAUAAGGUGCUCCUAUCAUUAGGAAGCUGUAUCAGGCCCAAAACAGUUCUGAACAGUUAGUAGUGGCACUGAGAUUUUCUCUGUGUUCUAACAGUAGAAUUCUGUGUUCUACUGAGACCCUUUGCAGUGUCCAGCAAAUGUCAAUAAUAUCUGAAAUGGAAAGUGUGAAUUAACCACACUGCAAAAAUAUCCACUUAAUAUAUGCUUAUUAAAUAAUAAAACAAAGCUUAUGGGCUUAUGGCCUCUCCUUUGUUGUUUUGACAACCUUAGCAUUUCAGGAUCUCAACAGGACGACUUCUGUUGAUGAAUGCAAGCCUGGGAAAUACCCUCUCCUAGGCCCUCUGAAGAGGCAACAGUGGUUCAGUGGUAGAAUUCUUGCUUUCCCAUCUGGGAGAUUCCCGGCCAGUGUACCUCAUGCACAGCCACCACCUAUCUGUCAGUGGAGGCUUGCGUUUUGCUAUGAUGGCGAAUAGGCUUCAGCGGAGCUCCCCGACUAAGGCAGAUUAGGAAGAAAGGCCUGGUGAUCUAUUUCCAAAAAUCAGCCAGUGGAAAACCUUAUGGAUCACAACUGUCUGAUCUGCAAACUCUCAUGGUGAUGGUGCAGGACUGAGCAGCAUUUUCUUCCAUUAUGCAUGGGCUAGCCAUGAGUUGGGGACCUGCUUGAUGGCAGCUAACAACAACAACAACAACAGCCUCAGGAAGUCUCUUUCCCAAGCUGCCCUCCUUAUCUGCUUGAAUUCUCAUGACAUCAUUCACUUUAAGGUGGUAGUGACUGGUAACUUAGUAUUAUGCUUCAUAGAGUUGGAAGUCUGUAAUAAAGUUUCCAGUGUUAACCAUUUAAUGGGCGUGGAUUUUUUUCUCUGAGGAUGGGGGCUUUCUAAGCCACCUGAAAUCAUAGAGGUGGGUGCCAAAAUCAUGUGUGUGUUGGUGGUUAAAUCCACCCAGUGGCUCUUCCACAGGCCCGGGAUGAGUGUGAUAUGAGAAAAUGGCUUUCUCCUUAGAGUGUCUUCUAUAGAGCAUGAAAUGAAGGGUCAACUCGAUUUAUCAGACCACAACAGUAAGCAGUGGCUCUACAGAAUGCAGGCACAAAAGUAGACUUUUUUUUGAUAGAGACUCUAACCAGUUGCCAUGCAGUUGAUUCUGACUCAUGGCGAUUCCAUUUGUGUCAGAGUAAAACUAAGCUCCAUAGGAUUUUCAUUGGCUGAUUUUUCAGAAGUAAAUCACCAGGACUUUCUUUUGAAGGGCCUCUGGGUGGUCUUGAACUUCCAACCAUUCCAUUAGCAGCCAAGAAUGUAACCAUUUGCACCACCCAGGGACUCCAUUAAAAAAAAAAAAAAACCAAA